AUACUUCAUUCCAAUACAAGUCUUAGAGUCAUACUCCAAGAUUGUAACUUGAGUGACAUGUCUUAAAGAAGGUUUAAAACACUUGUCAAAUGUAAGAGUAAAAGUUUUCUACUCUUGUACAUUUGAAAUUGGUAAGUUGUGAUGUUUUGGAUAAAACAAAGACCAACUUAGGCCAAUUGUGUGAAGUGUUUGUCUUGAUUAGAAUCCACACUAUCUCUUGAAUAUUUGACAAGAAAGUCUUAUAUGUCAAGUGGACAGUGGGAGUCUUAAAGGUCUUGAAAGUCUCAAGAACUAAUCAAGAAUAAAAAACCUGAAGUUCUUCUCUAGCACACGACUUGAGGUUCAUAACCUAUCAUGUUGACAUAUUCUGUGCUCAUUCCAGUUAAAGUUGGCUUUACAUAUGAGUUCUUAGANUGUUGCACAACAACUUGGAAGCAAUGGCAGGCCCUUGAGCUGCCAGGUGGCAAGAAAUUAAGAUUGAGUUCAGUCCAUAUGAGUUUGGAUUUGUCAUUAUCCUUGUCUUGUGACUAUGGUUUUGACAAUUCACAUGGAUAAGAACACAUAAACCAGUAAAUCUAAGUGUCAGAAGGUUUCUCUCCGAUUCAUGAAAAUGAUGGUGAGGAAACACUUUCACUAAGUAGAUUUUAGCUAGAUAGCAAUUGUGAUAUUUGCAUUCUCAAAGUCGUUAGUGGAGCGUGUGUGGUUUACCGGCACACUAACCUGGACUUGUGAGAAGUGGCAAAAAGGUCUAACCAUUAUGAUUACGGCAUACCUCUUCAUAAUUGUUUAGACACACAAGUGUGCUAUCUAAGGGAAGGUGUAUGAUUUUGAUAAAGUUUUAUCAAAACAAUCUAGCAUCAGAAAUCUGAACUUUGGUAAGAAAGUCAAUGAAGUAUUGAUUUCUAGAAGUCCAGCUGAUUUCUGAGUACAUGUCAAAGCUAGUGGGAGCAUAAGUGUUAUGCUAAUAAUCAUCAUGUUAGUGGGAGCAUGAUAAUUAUGAUAAGUAUUGCAAGUUAGCAAUGUUAAUUAUAGAAAACAAAAGGUUUCAGUUGGGAAAAGUUGUUUUGCUAUAAUUAAGGGAGAGGAAAUUAUACUUCAUCUCAAAUCUAUAAGCUUAGAUCGUGAGGUUUUAAUCAUUUAGUCAAGGAUAUAUAUGAAUUUCAUGUUGGAAUGGCUCAACAUAAGGAAAUUCUGUAUAUGGGUCCAUUAUUUGCGUUCUAAAAUUCGAUUAUGAUUACGACAUCCCUUUUCAUAAUCUGAAUUAUGAGAACUUGGCAAAUUGAAAUGGAAAUAUUAUAGCAAAAGACUGGUUUAGUCUUUAUGUGAGACAUCAUGAAUCGUGUCCCAUAUGCUUCGGAUAUAGGAUCGAUUACAUGUGCUAUAUUCAUCCUUUCUAAAAUUUUCCAAAUGCCUGAGGCAUUAAGAAGGGAAAUGGUUUAGAACUGGAUAUGACUAAAAGGAUUAAACAAUUGUCGAGUACAAUCUAUGGUUUACAAAAGAUUGGUUGCUCAAGGACAAUUGGAAGUAUAGCGAUAAUUCUGGAAGGACCAUAUUGACAUAAUCUGUAAGGAGGCAACGCUUGUUCAGAAGUGAUAGUCAAAAUAGAAUCUGGCAAUGUUUCAAAGUUAGAAAUUUCAAUAUGUGUAAGAUUAAGGAAAGUUAAUGCAAAAAGGAUGUUUCCAAGGAGUUCAUCUCCUUUGGAUUUAUUUUCUUACAUGCAGCUGGUAAUAGUUAUUCAGGAAACAAAUAUUCAUUCGAGGAUAGUUAUUUCAAAUUCAUAGAGUUUAUUUGGUAUAAUCAUUUAUGAAUUGUUCCUACAACCCUGUGGAAGUCAGGACCCAAUACAUCCAGAACUAGGAUAACCUUCUCUUUUCAGCUUUCGGCUUGUGUCUGUUGCUAUAGACUUAUUACGUCUCAUCUUUUUUUUUCUUUUAGCAAAGAUGUCUCAUCGCAGAUCUGUUGCAUUAAUGUAUAAGUCCAUAACUAUAAUUGGUAAGACUUGACCCGACCCGACAUGGUCCAUUUGGGUUGCAUGGCAUCAUGCAUUUGGAUAGACUAUAAUGAGAGAAAUAACACUUAAGGUUGGUUAAUAUAUUACAAGUUCUAAUAUAUUAAUUAGAUUAUUUAAUUAGUAUUGAUCUAGAAUUAAUCUAGGAAUAACUAGGUGAUCAAAAGAAGACAAAUUAAAUAUAUGGGUUGAUUGUGUAAAUCAUCCAUACUUAUAUAGUGGGCUAAGGCUCCAUGGAUUAUCUAGUUGGGCUAAAACCCAUAUGAUGCUUCAUGGAUGCUCCAUGGUGUUUUUGUACCCAUGGAUCAUGGAAAUGAAAGGCCAUGUCAAUUAGGGUUUACAUGCUGUAACUCUAACUAUACAUGCAUCUUAUUCUUGACCAAAAUCGGCACUAGUAUUAUUANAUUUAUCGAGCGAGUGGAAACACUGCUCACAUUACAUGUGUUAGAAUUAUUUUUCUUACAUGGAGCUGGUAACAGUUAUUCAGGAAAUAGAUAUUCAUUCGGGGAUAGUUAUUUCAAAUUCAUAGAGUUUAUUAGGUAUAGACUCGUUUAUGAAUUGUUCCUAGAACCCUGUGGAAGUCAGGACCCGAUACAUCCAGAACUAGGAUAACCUUGUCUUUUCAGAUUUUGGCUUGUGUCCGUUGCUAUAGACUUAUUCCGUCUCAUCUUUGAUUUCUUUUAGCAAAGAUGCCUCCUCGUAGAUCACCCAGACAUGCUACUCUGAUAACUCCCAUACCUUCUCCACAAAUCGAUGCAGCAACUCUGAACGAUGCAGUGGCUGUGGCUGUGGCAACAGGCAUGGCACAAUAUCACCCCAUCAGUACGGGUGGAGGUGAAACUGAUGGGUUUUGAGCAUUCUAACACUUCCUAAGUGUACAUGCAACCCUAAUAACCUUGGAUCUAUGUUUGUCUAAUUUGUCAUGCAAAGUUGAAUUCCAAGGUUAUAUCCUAUCUAGCAUACAUGGGGAACAAUUUUAACAUAAAGUAUAGAUAGAAUAACUUACCUUGUUGUUGCUUGUGUUCCUUGAAACCUUGUGAGCCUAGCACCUCAAGUGGUGAUGCCUCAAAUGCUUCACACAACACCAAAUGCUCUUGGAAGAACUUAUGAGAGAAUACACACUCUUCAAAAUCGGCCAAGCCCCCUUAUUCCUUAGUGUAACCGAUUUGGGAGGAGAUCAUAUUACUUAUAUAGUGUUGACACAUCUAGGGUUAAACCCUAAUGUGUCAUGACUCUUCAUUUCCAUGACCCAUGGGUUUGUAACUCCCAUGGAGCAUCCAUGGAGCAUCCUAUGGGUGGAACCCAACUUGAUGAUCCAUGGAGCCUUUUAGCCCACUAUACAAGAUAUGGAUGAUUUACUUAAUCAACCCAUAUAUUUAAUUAGUUAUCUUUUGAUCACUUAAUUAAUUCUAAAUUAAUUCUUGAUCAAACUAAUCAAAUAAUAUUAUUAAUAUAUUAGAACUUAUAAUAUAUUAAUAAUCUCCAAGCGUUAUUUCUCUCAUUUAGUUUAUCCAAUUGCAUGGUGCCAUGCAACCCAAAUGGACCAUGCCGGGUCGGGUCAAGUACAUACCAGAAAUAGUUAUGGACUUAGACACCUUAUCCAACAGUCUCCCACUUGGAUAAGUCUAGUAACUAUUACUGCAAGUAUGACUUCAGGAACCGAUCGGCAAUCGUAGCUCUUUACAAGGUUUCUCGAAACUUGAGAAGAUGAUGGUACGCCAUUUAAGAUAAGUGAUCAUAUAAUCCUCUGUUCUAGAUAUCAGUCGGACAAAUACAUGGAACAAUGUCUUACUUAUUGUCCAACAUUUGUUUCCCGAUUUCCGAUUUGUUUGACAAAGAACUUUAUUGAACACAUCAAUCUAGUUCUGACCGGGCCCGGUACAUAGGUCAAAACAAAAUCAUCGAGGGGCCCAGAUAUCAGCUUCUAAUCCAAGAAGGAACAGAUAAACUUCGACUCAUAUGUUUGUUCUACUACUCAUUGAAUUACACAUAAGAGCACGAUUUUAUAACAUCGAGUUACCAAUGCGUUUUUCGUACAAUUAAUGCAUAACCAACUCGUAAGUAACAAAUCAUAUCUCUAGGUUUAAAGACUUAUAUGAUAUUACCGUCUCACGAUCACUCGAGAUAGAAUUCCAUGAAGUGAUUCCAGUGAGCGUGGGUUGAGUCCAAUGCUCAGAACUUAUGAGCACUCAUGAUUGUUGUAGCCUUGUCCCAGACCUCUACAACCAAACAUGACAGUCUUGAUUCAUACCUACUUCCGACAUAUGACCGACUGUGGAGGUUUGAAUAAUAUGUUAUACCAAACAAAAUUAUUCUGGAAGUCAAAACAUGCAAAAGAAAUAUAGUAAACGAUCGACAAGAGAUAGCAACACUUUACUCAUAAAUAAAACACUUUUAUUCAUCAUCAAAUGUCAAUUACACUUUACAAAUUUCGAGAUUAUCUAACUACUAAAUCUAAUAUCAUCCUUCAGCCCUAUGCUCCGAGCAUGCUGGAGAUGCUUAACCCGAGUCAGUCCCUUCGUGAGGGGAUCUGCCGGAUUCUCAUCUGAUGAUACCCUCUUUGCCACGAGGAGUCCUUCUUCGAUCCGAUGUCUGAUGAAAUGGUAUUUUCUGUCGAUGUGUCUGGAUCUCCCGUGAUCCCUUGGUUCCUUGGCUAAGGCAACAGCACUUUCACUAUCACAGAAAAUUUCCAUCGGCUCUUUAAUAGCUGGUACAACUCCAAGGUCUCCAAUGAAGUUCCUCAGCCAUAACGCCUCCUUUGCCGCUUCGCUAGCUGCAAUAUACUCUGAUUCACAAGUAGAAUCUGCCACUGUCUCUUGCUUGGAACUCUUCCAAGAAAUUGCUCCUCCAUUUAGGGUAAAGACCCAGCCCGACUGAGAGCGGAAAUUAUCCCUAUCAGUCUGGAAGCUAGCAUCACUAUACCCUACAACUCUCAAGUCAUCACUCCCACCGAGGGUAAGGACCCAGUCCUUAGUCCUCCGUAGGUACUUGAGGAUAUUCUUUACCGCAGUCCAGUGUGCCUUGCCAGGGUUCGCCUGAUACCUGCUAACCAUGCUCAAGGCAAAAGCUACAUCGGGUCGAGUACACGUCAUAGCAUACAUGAUCGAUCCUACAGCCGAAGCGUAAGGUGUUCGACUCAUUUCUGCUAUCUCAGCCUCAGUGCUAGGGCUUUGUGUCUUACUCAACCUGGUGUUACUCUGGAUGGGUAACUCUCCUUUCUUGGAAUCCUGCAUGCUGAAUCUCUUCAGCACCUUAUCCAAGUAGGUACUCUGACUAAGUCCAAUUAGUCUUUUACUCCGAUCUCUCAAGAUCCUUAUCCCUAGAAUAUAGGCAGCUUCACCAAGGUCCUUCAUAGCGAAACACUUCCCAAGCCAGGACUUUACUUCCUGCAGGGUUGGAAUGUCGUUUCCUAUGAGUAGUAUGUCAUCCACAUACAAUACCAAAAAGCUAACUAUACUCCCACUAGCCUUGACAUACACACAAGAUUCAUCUUCACUCCUAGAAAAGCCAAAUUCCUUGACCUUUUCAUCAAAGCAAAGAUUCCAUCUGCGAGGUGCUUGCUUCAAUCCAUAAAUGGAUUUCUCAAGCUUACACACUCUAUUAGGGUACUCGUUGCUGACAAAACCCUCUGGCUGACUCAUGUAAACAUCUUCAGCCAACUUUCCAUUAAGGAAAGCGGUUUUGACAUCCAUCUGCCAUAUUUCAUAGUCAUGAAAUGCAGCUAUGGCUAACAGAACCCGAAUAGACUUAAUCUUGGCUACCGGAGAAAAGGUCUCAUCAUAAUCCACUCCAGGAAUUUGAGAGAAGCCCUUUGCAACCAGUCUAGCCUUAUAAGUGUGUACUUUACCAUCCAUGUCGGUCUUCUUCUUGAAGACCCAUUUGCACCCUACUGUCUUACGACCUGGUACAUUUUCAACCAAGUUCCAAACUUGAUUGUCAUACAUGGAUUGUAUCUCGCUAUCCAUAGCCUCUUUCCAUUUAGCAGACUCGGGGCCUGCCAUGGCUUCCUCGUAGCUGUUAGGGUCAUCUUGACUUACUAGUGUCUCAUCACUAAUAAGUGUCUCACCUUCUGCAGUAAUAUGGAAUCCAUAGUAAUGCUCAGGUGCACUCCUAACUCUCGUGGAACGUCUCAGAGGUACAGAUUUGUCAAUUGGCUCAACAGGAGUUUCCUCCUCAAGUUGAGGGCUAGAGUUUGAAGUUCCUUCACCGCUUGAUUCUUGAAUUUCUUCAAGAUCAAUUUGCCUCCCACUGUCUCCUUGGCUUAUAAACUCUCUUUCUCGAAAGACUCCUCUUCUUGCUACAAAGACCACAUUGUCACUAGGUCUGUAGAAGAGGUAACCAAAGGAUCGCUGUGGGUAACCGAUGAAAAUACACCUCUCGCUUCGAGGUUCGAGCUUAUCAUGAGUCUCGCGUCUCACGAAAGCCUCGCAACCCCAAAUCUUGAUGUGGUCUAGUUUAGGUACUUUACCAGUCCACAUCUCGUGAGGAGUUUUGGCAACUUUCUUUGUAGGGACUAGAUUAAGAAUAUGGGCGGCAGUCUCUAAGGCAUACCCCCAGAAUGAGAUUGGUAGCGUAGCUCGACUCAUCAUGGAACGAACCAUAUCUAACAAGGUUCGAUUACGCCUCUCAGCCACACCAUUCAACUGUGGUGUCCUGGGAGGUGUCAAUUGUGAGACUAUCCCACAUUCCCUUAGAUAGUCGAGGAACUCUGAACUAAGAUACUCACCACCACGAUCGGAUCGAAGCAUCUUAAUGUUCCUGCCCAAUUGAUUCUCGACUUCCUGUUUAAAUUCCUUAAACCUCUCGAAAGUCUCUGACUUAUGCUUGAUCAAGUAGACAUAUCCAUAUCUACUAUAAUCAUCAGUAAAAGUCAAAUAAUAACGAUUAGCAUCCCUUGUGGCAUGUUUGAAUGGUCCACACACAUCCGUGUGUAUAAGGUCCAACAAACCUUCACCCCUCUCACACGAACCUGUGAAGGGUGACUUUGUCAUUUUUCCAAGUAAGCAUGAUUCGCAACUAUCAUCUGACUUUAGGUCAAACGACUCCAAGACUCCAUCCUUUUGGAGUUGGCCUAUGCGUUUCUUGCUUAUAUGUCCAAGACGACAAUGCCAUAAAGAUGCUUUAUCCAAGUUAUUAUUAGUAGAAUCAAUACACAAAACAUUAUUUCCCAAGUUAUCUACAACAGAUACAGCUUCAUACACACCAUCACAAGGUAAUGCUUUAAAAUAAAAGACAUUAUUAUAGAAAACAUCUAUAGAACCAACUUCAUUAUUAAAUGAAAAGGUAAACCCUUGUUUGUACAAAGCAUGAAAGGAAAUAAUAUUUCUUGCCAUUCCUGGCGAAUAACAACACUUAUUCAAAUCUAAACUAAACCCACUACUUAGCGAUAAAGUAUAAACUCCAAUCUUGGUAACAGGUAUAGCUUUCCUAUUCCCCAUGAUCAAGUUUAUCCUUCCUUGCUCCACAUCCUCACUUCUUCUUAGUCCCUGCAAGUCACAACAAAUGUGAAUACCACACCCGGUAUCAAGGACCCAAGAAUUAGAAUGGGGUGAGUUAUUAGAAAUGAUAGUGUAAAUACCUGCAUGGUUGGGUUUAACUUUCCCAUCCUUCACAUCUUGCUGGUAUUUUGGGCAGUUCCGCUUCCAAUGAGCUUUUUCAUGGCAAUAGAAGCAUUCAGCCUCUUUUGGGUCAGAAGAAGGAGUAACGAAACCUUUCUUGGUUCCACUUGAAGAAGAGCCAUCAAGGGUCCGAGCCUUGGUACCCUUAGAAGAGCUCUUUCUCUUCCUCCCUCGACUUUUCCCGAUUGCCAAAACCGGAGUAGAGUUUUGAGUAGGAGUGAUAGCAACCGACUUCCCCUUAAGACCUGUUUCUGCGGUCUUGAGAAGUCCCUGAAGUUUGCUGAGGGUGACUUCUUCCUUGUUCAUGUGAUAUGUCAUGCGGAAUUGAUCAUAGCACGAUGGUAAGGAAUGCAAAAUAAUAUCUAUUGCAAGAUCCUCCGGGAAGUUCACAUUAAGCUUCAGCAAACGAUCCACAUACCUUUGCAUUUUCUGCAUGUGGCUCGUGACGGAUUCCCCGUCCUUCAUCAUGGUUGUUAUCAUGGAGCAGAUGAUUUCAUACCUCUCUUGUCUUGCACUUUGAUGGUAUCUUUCCAUCAAAUCUUGGUGCAUGUCAUAAGGGUAGAAAUCCUCAUAAGACUUUUGGAGUUCCGCUGUCAUCGUGGCCAUCAUGAUGCAAGCCACUUUCGUAGCAUCCCUUUCAUGUGCCCGAAAUUCAGCGAUCUCCUGAGGAGUUGCAGUGGACUCAUCAAUCUCCUUAAGCUCCUUGUCAAGGACAUAUUCUUUGUCCUCGUAGCGGGUAAUCAUCCUGAUGUUUCUGAUCCACUCAUUGAAGUUGGAUCCAUCAAAGGUGACUUUCCCACACAAGUUCAUAAGGGUAAAGGAGCCAUUAGGAUUAGAGCCAGAAGCAUUGUUGAAAGACAUCUGAAGGAAAGAGGACAAGAUUAGUUUAGAUAUAAGAGAGUCCUUAAUAAAACACCCAAAUGUAAUAUUAAGGCUAGGAUCCAAUCACAAUAUAAUAUAACUUAGAAGAGGUAUGCCGUAAUCUAAGCUAUAUCAUAUUUGAAAGGUAGGUGAAUGACGAUUCACCAAUUUCCACCACGAAAACCGCAAUAUUUUAGUAUUAGGUUUUUGAAUGGUUCUUAGAAAUUCCUAGAUUCUUUGAGAUUCAAUGAACUUUUCAAAGGCAUGUUUCAAUCUCGAGUGUGCCCUCCAAGUUUUGUGACUGGGAUACCGAGGAUCACAAAACGAGGUGUGAAGUAACCAUGCAAAUCACUUGGUACCCUUAAAGUUUAUCACUCAAUCGAUGUGCCGGUUAACCACACACGCUCCAUCGAUACUAUAAUAAACCCUAAGUCACCCUUUACCUACCUUGUUAAGUCCAAGUUAGUGUGCCGGUUAACCACACACGCUCCACCAACGACUUAAUCAAAGUGUAAAGUGUAAUUUCAUGGAAUAGCACCUUAUUCACAUUUUUCCUAAAGUAACUAAGAUUGGGAAUUUAAUAAAACAUUUAGUUACUUUAUAAUAUUCAUCAUACUUUGAAUGAGAAUUAAUAAGUCCUUGUCUUACCCGUUCGGCUAACGACCCUCCACCGAUCAAGCAAGCGGUGGGUGAGAGUGGACACCCAUUAAGUCACCAUUUUAUAGGCAACAACCUUAUACCCACCUUAUAGACCGGCUUCGUGAAUGAGGCGUACUAGCGGUAAGACGACUUUGUUCUUAUACAUAUAUAUAUAAUUAUUAAAUCAUAAUAAUAUAAGUAUAAGGGUUGAAUUUUAACUUUUAAAAUUCUAGGGGUUGGAACUAAAGUUUUAACUUAACUUUACUUGUUCCAAAACUUGAGGGCAAGUUUUGUAAACUUUCAAAACUUUUCAUUUCUUGUAACUUAUGAGUUUAAUAGAGUAAUAAAAUGAGGACUUUUCAUUUUUCCUAACUCUUGUGUUCUUUUAAUGGUUUUUAAUCCAAGAGACUUUUGGUUUUCCAUAACUUGAGGACAAGUUAUGGACUCCAUUAAAACACAUUAUGAUCAUGAAUUAAUCUACCACAUAGGUUACAAAUAAUUCCUAUGAUCAUCUAAACAUCAUAAGAACAAGAAUAUGAAUAUGAACACUUUCAAGAAUCAAAAUCACAUUUAAUCUUUGUAAUUUUGAUAACUAGUUGUUGUAAAUGAGUUAGAAAAGACAUUACACCUUCUAAAAUAAGUUUUCAAGUACCAAAACAUUUUAGGGUAAUGAUUCUAAUCCAUUUCCAGCAACUCAAGUCGAAAUUCUGCACUCUGUCGACCCUACUCGCCGAGUGCAUAAACCUACUCGCCGAGUAGGUUGAAGAUACACAUGAACUCGACGAGUCCUCCCCAUGGACUCGCCGAGUCCAUCAGUCAGACAGCAGAAUUUUCGACUUUCUUCAACUUUUAAGCACAAAUAACAAACAAACAAGCCUAGGCUCUGAUACCACUGAUGGGUUUUGAGCAUUCUAACACUUCCUAAGUGUACAUGCAACCCUAAUAACCUUGGAUCUAUGUUUGUCUAAUUUGUCAUGCAAAGUUGAAUUCCAAGGUUAUAUCCUAUCUAGCAUACAUGGGGAACAAUUUUAACAUAAAGUAUAGAUAGAAUAACUUACCUUGUUGUUGCUUGUGUUCCUUGAAACCUUGUGAGCCUAGCACCUCAAGUGGUGAUGCCUCAAAUGCUUCACACAACACCAAAUGCUCUUGGAAGAACUUAUGAGAGAAUACACACUCUUCAAAAUCGGCCAAGCCCCCUUAUUCCUUAGUGUAACCGAUUUGGGAGGAGAUCAUAUUACUUAUAUAGUGUUGACACAUCUAGGGUUAAACCCUAAUGUGUCAUGACUCUUCAUUUCCAUGACCCAUGGGUUUGUAACUCCCAUGGAGCAUCCAUGGAGCAUCCUAUGGGUGGAACCCAACUUGAUGAUCCAUGGAGCCUUUUAGCCCACUAUACAAGAUAUGGAUGAUUUACUUAAUCAACCCAUAUAUUUAAUUAGUUAUCUUUUGAUCACUUAAUUAAUUCUAAUUUAAUUCUUGAUCAAACUAAUCAAAUAAUAUUAUUAAUAUAUUAGAACUUAUAAUAUAUUAAUAAUCUCCAAACGUUAUUUCUCUCAUUUAGUUUAUCCAAUUGCAUGGUGCCAUGCAACCCAAAUGGACCAUGCCGGGUCGGGUCAAGUACGUACCAGAAAUAGUUAUGGACUUAGACACCUUAUCCAACAGAAACGCCUGUCGAUUCCACUCAAGGUGAGGUCCCUAUGCGCCCGGGAGAGUUCUCCUACAAGGACUUCACCAGAUGCCAACCAUUGUACUUUAAUGGGACUGAAGGAGUCAUUGCUCUCAUGUAAUGGUUCGAGAAAAUAGAGUCGGUCUUCGAAAUCUGUUUAUGCCCAGAAGGAAGCAAAGUGAAGUUUGCUUCCUGCACCUUCUCUAGCAAGGCCAUAACAUGGUGGAACAGCCAUGUUAAGUCAUUGAAUCUAUCAGUGGCAAACUCAAUAGGUUGGGAAAACCUAAAAGAGUUAAUGCGGGAAGAAUAUUGCCAGUUAGGCGAGAUUCAAAAAUUGGAACAAGAGAUGUGGGAUCUCACUAUGGUCGGCUUAGACAUAGUGACCUACACAGACCGGUUCAGCGAACUAGCAGCUCUAUGCCCCGAGAUGAUUGCCUCAGAGAGCAAGAAGAUAGAAAUGUACAUUUGGGGUCUGACUGCUCCGACCCAAGGAAAUGUAUUUUCUUCUAACCUAGCCACGUUUGAUAGUGCUACAUGCCUGGCUCAGCGACUCAUCGACCAUGGAGUCCGCCAUGGUGUAAAAGUCCCUACUCUGGAGCCAUCAAGGGAAGAGGACUAUAAUCAGAAGUCGGAGAACAAGAGAAAUAAGAAGCAAACAACAUAAGACACCACGCAAUAGCAACAUGCGAGUACUAUGUACGCCGCAACGACGCUUACUGCUUCAGCACCUGCCAGUUGUUAUGCUGGAAACCUUCCAAAUUGUGGAAAGUGCAAGUUUCACCCUACCUGAUUAUGCCGAGAAAUGCAGUGUCUGAACUGCAACAGAAAGGGACACACAGUCCGUUACUGGAGGGCACCAGCUCAACCGAUUUCCCAAGUCCUCGGAGCCGAAGAAAACCAAGCCUGCUAUGGUUGUGGUGAGACUGUACAUAAUCAAAGGGACUACCCGAUAAUCAGGAACUCAGGCGCGGAUGGACGUAUUCUCAUGAUCACCGCAGGAGAAUCAACCCCGGAGUCGUCGACGAGUAGUGAUACAUUUUCAAAAUAGUAAUUACUUUUAAAAAUUUAUUUAUAUUCAUAUAAGAUUAAAAUUUGGGGAUGACACUUAAAAGUAACUAUAACAACUCACAUGUUGAAAUAGGUCACAAUAUUCAAGACAAUUAAAAGAUCCCUUAGAGAAGCUAUUAUGGCUCACUAUAUACAUCAGGGUUGUGCGCAACUAAGAUGUUGUAGACUUAGAGUGAGUGACUCCGCUUAGGUUCCCUUUCCUCAAUUGGUUGAGGAUUUGAGUCAGAGAUGCUCAGUCGACUGCCUGGCUCAUCUUAAGUAUUCACAACUUGUAUAUGACGGGCGAUGGUAGUAGUACCAUGGGGGAUCAUGGUAUAAAAGUAUCCCUUCAGUUAAUAAGGCACUUUUAUUUGUAUGUAUGCGCACAUAGCGGUAUGAUACAUAGGAGUGUUAACGUCGAAUACAAGGCAGGAAACACGAGAACAGUUAGAAGGAGUACAUUGUUAAACAUACUAGGAGUACAGUACCAAGCAUACCAGGGAUACAUCGUCAUUUGUCAGACGUUUCUUUCAUUUGACCAAAACUUUCUUCAGUAUAGAGUCCGUUGUUUUCUUUCGUCAUGACUUGGUGUGGUCCUCACCAUACCGAGUUCAUAUGAUUAUAUCGCCUCGAUCGGCAAGUUCUCGAAACUUUCAUCAUUCGUAUCGAAAUUCCGAGCUGGAACAAAAACUUAAUCUUUCGCAUUCUAAACCCCAAAGUACGCGUGCGAAGAGUACUUUGUCCUCCGAAGCCUUAUCGUCAGAUGUCCGCAGACCGUCACGAAAUACCACUCGUCCAGCAGACCAAGUUCGAGCAUAGAGGUUAUGGACGAAUACAGCCCGCCUAUUAUUAUUUAGUAUAUAUGCGAGGGUGGUCUAUGAGUAUGAUUACACAGAUCUAGUAUGUGUGUUUUCGCCCUAUCUCCUGUCCUCGUUGGGUUGUGGACCUGGGGUAGAGUCGCACAUCCGAUAGUCCUACUAAUCCUAAUUGUAUAUGGCUUGUAUACACGAGGUAAUGAUAGUUGUACCAACUAUGAAUCCUAUCAAGAACACCAGGGCAAAGUUGCCAGGUCUACAAGUGUGUAUUCUGCGAAUCAAAAGAGCGCAACCCCAGUAGUUAUGUUAAGAAAUCUAAUUUUGGGAUGAAAUUCCCUCUAACAGGGGUUGAUGUGACAACCCGAAUUUUUUUAUUUUUAUAAGCUUAGUCAGUCAACUCAACUGAGUGUUAAAAUCAUUAAUACAGAGUUCUAGCCUUGUUACAGGUCAUUCUAAGGAGUUUUGAGUCUAAUACACUUAAGGAAUAAGUGUUAGAAAGUACCCGCUAGAACCACAGUGUAGCAAAACGAACCCUAACCUCAUCUAAUUGAGUUCACGGCCACAAGACCAUGAGUUUACGGUCGUAAACUCAUGUGGGCGUAAACUCAAGAGUAUAUAUAGGGCAUUGGGUCAUUUCUUAUCAUUUCUUCCUUUCUUGGCCGAAUUUUCUCCCAAAUCCUCUCAACUAUCAUCCAACCUUCUUCCUUAGAUCUUCAAAAGAGUGAGUAUUCUAUCCCGUGAUUAGUUAAUACAUCUUUUUUAACUAGCUUCUUACAUUGAUUUCAUCCAUGAAAAUCAUGUUUGAUCAGAUACUUAAGAAACACCAAGAACACCAAUAACACACACUAGUGUUCUUGGCCAAAUCGACUGGUUUAAGCUCCUAUAUUGUAAGCACUCUAAUUCUAACUUGUUGUUCACUAGAGUAAACAUGUCUAGACCUUAGAAACACCAAGACACAAAGGUUAGAAGAGAGUUUACGACCAAGGAUGUUCUUGGGCCGUAAAAUCCCUUUUAUGGUGCAAAGAUGCCCUAAAUUUCGUCCUUAAGCCUAGAGACUAGGCUACCACUUUACCUUGAUGUGUUUAGUACUCAAAACAAUCAAAAUACCAUCACCCAUAGGUGAUUACGGUCGCAAACACAUGUCAAAGUGGUCCAUGGGCUGAAAACUCAAUUUAACGGUGUAUUGAUGCCGCAAACACUUCCUAAGGCUUAGACUUGUAGUUAGGAUGCUUCAUUAUGACUUUUAGGACCCUAAAACAACUCUUAUAAACAUAAAUGGUCAUGAUUUUAUGGUUGUAAACUCAUUAGGGCCGUGAACACCCCAAAAGCUUCAAAGAAAGUGGGCUUCCUCAUCCUAGGGUAGAGCUAAGGUCCCUAAAACAUCUAUAGCAUUCAAGCUUGCAUUUAUACAUGAGUAACCAUGAGUUUACGGCUGUAAACUCCCUUGGGACGUAAACCCAUGGUAGUAAACUCAUGUGAGUGCCAUUCUACCUUCCUUUGUUGAAUCACAUGUGAUUCCAACACCUGGUCAAGGUCUUUCCUAGUCCCGGAAGGCAUUUUUUUUCAUAUAGUUGUUAUAAACACUAUAUUCAUGCGAAUAUGUGUCAUUAUAUAUCAUCUAGUACUUAUUGUAUCUCAGGAAAUUAUUCGUAGAACUUCUCAUCCGUACGCGCGUACCCGUUUGAAUAACCCACAUCAGGUGAGUUCAUACCCUGUAAUGAAUCUUUUAACUAUUUUAACUGUUUUAAGGGGGCAAUACAGGUUGAACACAAUGAUAAUUGUGUAAAUGUUUGUUGUUAAACAUCUUUCAAAAUGUUGCUAAUGUUAUUUAUAAGUUUUCAAAACAUUUCAAAACUCAUUUAAAGUUACGUUACUUUAUAGUUAUACAAAACUCCGUUCUUAAAGUAAAAGCAUAAAUUAGUAGAGAAAUGAGUCUUUUCAGUAACAGUCCAAGUAGAGCAUUAGUAAACUAUUCUAGGUAUAGUUUAGGAGAAUGCUAUUCAUGACUUCUAGUACAAUCAGGCACACAAAGAACCAAUACGAUAACAGAACAAACAGUGAAGAGAAUCAAACAAAACCUUAACAGAACAAACAGUGAAGAGAAUCAAACAAUACCAUAACAGAACAUAACAAACAAGUUAAGUUGCUAUAGCAUGAGAACACACAAACAGGAUCUAAUUAUACCAAUGAAUCACUAAGGCAUUAGUGAUAGUUAAAUAUGGUAUACAUGAUCAUAUAACUUUAAUGUGAAUUACACAGCUUGCAAGAAAUUGCUGGGGUCGCGUUUGGUUCCCUUAAUCUCUUUACAUUGAGAGCGUUUAGUAGGGUUCUAGCUUUCACAUUAUGACCGUGAUAAAACAAAUAUGUUUUUAGUACAUCCGCAUGUCAUUAUAAACGACAUCUGUGUACUUACUUUUCCUAUUACUUUCAUAAAAUGUCAAUACCACUUGAAUGUUGAUCUAUUUUCUAGUCAAGAUAGUUAUAAACUAGGGAGAAUAUACUUUUCCAUUUGACAAAGGAACAGUCGGUUUUAACACAGAACAGAAGAUGCCUUGGUAGAAGGCUACGAUUAAAGGUUAGGAUCAUAAUGCUAGCUUUAUGAUUCCUUAUUGUAUACACUGUAGGAUACAUAUAUGCUAAUAGAUUCCGACAGCUAAUAGGAUGUGUGCUCUUCGCUUCAUUUCCUGUUCUCGUUGGAUUGUGGGCAUGGAAUGAGGUCACCCAAUCUAUUAUCUACCCGACUCUCUCUCUCUCUCUCUCUAUAUAUAUAUAUAUAUNUAUAUAUAUAUAUAUAUAUAUAUAUAUGCUUAGUAUACAUUAAGUCAUCAUAACGGUACCAGGUAUGGAUCAGGUCAUAGGACACAGAGUCAAUGUACAGUUUUUCUAGUACAAAACUUACUUUUCAAAGUCAGUACUUUUGGUAUACAAAACUAGAGAUUUCACAGAUAAGGGCUUAAUCCAUUUUAUUAAGCCAGUAUAGUUUUAGAGACUUUAGGUGAGUAACUCUAUAACACCUUAGUUUAUACACGUCGUUUAUAUAUAAAACUAAUAUCCAAUAGAUAGUUAAAUGUGUGUUUUCCGCCUUUCUUCUUGUUCCCUUUGGAUUGUGGGCUUAGGGCAGAUUCACCCAAUUAACUUUCUACCCGAUAUCAGAUUAUAUAUAGUAGUGUAAACAAAGCUAUUAUAAAAGUAGUCACCAUAGUCAUUAUUUUACUAUAAGGAAUAUAGGUUUUCUUAAAGAACUUUUCAUUAGAUAUAAAGGAACCAUUACAAAUAACUCCAUGAGUAACAAGUGAAUACACCAGGGUUAUAGUUGACAACGAUCUAACAACCAAUGGAAUGUGUGCUAUCCGCCUUACUUUCUGUUCCCCGUUGGGUUGUGACCUUGGGGCAGAUGCACACAAUCGAUUGUUUGUUUACUCUGAGUAUAUAUAACUUGUACCCACUUAGUACCCAUAAAAAGGCUUGUAGUGUCAUUAUACUAAAAUUUCAUUCAGGUAGGAAAUAUAGGAUUUUCUAUAGGAACAGGCGAACUUUUCAAAACAGAACUUAAAGCUUACAUCACUUUUACAUAUACAUUUUCAACCACGCUUAAAGCACUCUUUGGAUUUUGGACUUCGGAUGGGACAGGGUAGAGGGUAGAGGGUAGCGGGGGAGGUGGUCGAUCCGAUGCCAAGCACUGAUUACGCUGGGCAUACCCUCGUAUGUUAUAGUAUACUCCCCUUAGUAUGUGGGCCCCAAUCUUCUAAAAUACGUAACUUUCGCAUACGAGAUCUGUUUUUGACGUUCUUUAUAUCCAUGUGUAGGUGAGAAUAUAAUAUACAACUUUCAUUUAGACUUCGUUGGCAAAUUUUAAGUUUAUUUUUAUUUAUAUAUUUUUAAUAGGCUGGGACAUGAAAAGACCGUGAAAAAUUCAUAACUUCUUCAUUCGAUGUCCGUUUUUGUUUGUCUUUUUACCGUUGUACUACAAUUGUUGAGAUCUUCAAUUCUCAUUUAGGUCGUAUCGGCUAAAUAUUGCUCGAUCUGUAUUUCAAGUUUUUAGCUUUCUACCACUACUCCGAAAAUUAGAAAAAUCAUAGCAUCCUCACAUGAAGUCAGAUUUGGACGUUCUUUUUAUUUACGUUCACAGUUUAAUGAUAUCUAAAACAUUCGUUUAGAUACCUAAGGCUAAAAUGUAUGUUAUUGAAAUUUUGCAUUUUAUGCUUAAUAGUGUUUUACCGGUUUUGCUGCGGAUUUUCGAUUGGUCAUAACUUCUUCGUUAAAACUCGGAUUUUUGUGUUCUUUACAUUUCUGAAAACCAUGUUACGAUAUCUAUUACUUUAUGUAUCCCAAUUGAGACUUUUGAACAUUUCAUUUCCGAUGCUAUUUUUAUUUAUUUAUUAAUUCAAAAUAGACUACACUAAUUGACUUAGUUCAUUACAUUGACUUUAAAUAUCGGGUUGUCACAAUCUUCCACAUGAUCUUUUAUAAAAUGAUAACGAAUAGCAAUAUGCUUGGUUUUCUAAUGUUGCACAAGGUUGUGAGAAAUGCGUGUUGCAUUUUGUGAAUCACAAUACAACGGAAUUUGCUUCAUGUUGAUUGCAUAAUCACGUACUUAACUUUGAAUCGAUAUGAUUUGUGAAGUGCAAGCUGCAACAGCGACAUAUUCAACUUCUGCUUUGGAAAUCAAAACACAUGUUUGCUUUUUUGAAUGCCAGCUUAAUAACUUCCCAUCCAGAAGUUACCAUCCGCCACUUGUGCUUUUCCUUUCAAGAUUACGUCCUCCUAAAUCAGCAUCUGACAAAGCUUGUAUGAAGAAUGCAGUUUUAGAAGGAUACCAUAAUCCUAAUGAAAUUGAGCCUUUGAGAUAAUGAAAAAUAUUCUUGACAACACUGAGAUGUAGUUCUCGAGGAUUUGACGGAUACUUAGCACAAUUACAAACUGAAAACAUAAUAUCAGAUCGACGUGCUGUGAGGUAAAGUAACGAACCUAUCAUGCUUCUGUAUAGAGUUAAAUCAACAACAGGUUUAUCUAACGAAGGUGUCAGCCUUGUUCCAUUCGCCAUUGGUAUUCGUAACUUUGUGCUAUUCGUAAAUCCGAAUUUUUCAAGCAGAUUCUUGUUAUAUUUUUCUUGAUUGAUAAAAAUUCCUUCUCUAUUUUGACGAAUAUUUAAACCAAGAAGAUUGUUGAUUUUCCCAUCAUACUCAUCUCAAAUUUGCUUUUAUUCAGACUUUUGAAUUCAUUAGACAAAGCAGGGUUAGUAGAGCCAAAAAUAAUAUCAUCAACAUAAAUUUGAACAAGAAUUAGAUGAUCCCUAGCUUUCUUUUGAGAGAGAGUGGGAUCAACUGAUCCUUGUUUAAAUUUUGAUUAUUUUAGGAAAGAAGUUAAAGUUCCAUACCAGCCUUCCGAAAUUGGUUCUAAAACUCUUAUUUGUAAGUGAAACUUACAAAUUAGUCUAUUUCCUUAACGUACUUGUGAUUAUAUUCACUAAUUGUAUACAUAUAUAUUAUGUAAAAUGCAUUUAGGACUCGUUUUUGCCUUGGUAUCUAACUUCUAACAACAAACAUCCUAUAUCGAAACUUCAAACAAAUCACUCACAUAAGGUGAGUUCAUAGCCCUACAAUUUACUUUUUUCAAUGAUUUUUUUCGAGAGGGGGGGGGUACAAUUAGAACACAAUUUAAUUGUGUUAACUCUUACUUGUGAAAACAAAACAAACGAAGGAUUUCUUAUGCUUAUAAAUAUUGUUAAAUCAUUUCCAAACUCUAUUAAACUAUUUUAGAUUUCUGUUUAUAUCAAAAUCAUAUUUGUUUGUAUAUUUAUGUAUAAUCAUGCUUUAACGGACUUAGGACUAUUGCUAAAUACCUUAGCUCCUAUUCCUUGUUUAGUAGUGGGCUUAGGAUAGGUUCACUAGUCAGACUGUCGGCUAAAUCAUAAUUAUACAUGCUAAAUAUAUACAUGAAUACUAAAUUUCAUUUUCAAAGACAUACUUAACUCAGUUGCAUAUGUUGGGCAAUUGAGUCUUUUCUCCAAAUCAUUUACAGUUCAAACAAAACUUACUAGUAAAAUAUAAUAGGUAUAGUUUAGAGAAUGAAUUCAUACUAUUUUCUAGAUCAGAGAAACAAUACAUAAAUCAAUACCUACAUACUACUACAUUUCAUUUCAAAGUAUACUCUUCAUUUACAAAAACAAGAAGGAACUUACAUACUAUACGUGAACAAGUUAACUAGAAUGUGAAAUACUAUUUCAUGGCAUAGAAAUAUUUUUUCUAAGUCAAUUUUGUAACCAAAGUUUCCUGGAGGGAGAGCGUGAGUUUCUGUAUAGAGCUAUACGGGACUGACCAUCCCACACCUUGCAGCCAGCUAUAGUGGGACCUGCAGGUCUAUGGGUGACAAAUGUUAUAUCAUUUUCGAUGCCUGAAGAACGUUGUCACACCCCGAAAAUCAAAGGCGGAAACAUUUCCGGGGUUGACUCGACGUUGAGUAUCAAAUCCAAUGCACAUAGUAAAACAGUAAACACAAAACAUUACAUUACAUAAUAUUGUUUACAUCUAUUUGAAAGAAAAGUUAUACAAGUGUUAUAUCCAUAUAUCAUAUGAACAAAAGCAAAGACGAGUCUUCGGAACGCUCCGUCUUCUCCAAAAGAUGGUGGUGUACCUGUCUAACGCUGACCUGAGAAUACAAGUAGUUUGAAAAUCAGCAUAAAGCUGGUGAGUUCAUAAGCGGUUUAGUGUUGAAAAGAGCGAGUUUCCUUUGCUUUCUGAAAAAGUUGUUGUUCAAGAAAAUCCCAUAUUUUCUUAUGAAAAUAGUUUAGUUAUCAUUUGUUACAAAUUAGAAAACGGUUUGUUAUGUCAUUCCAGGAAAAUCCCAUAUUUUCCUAAUAGUUUAGUUAUUCAUUUGUUACUUUAUUCGUAUAUGAGUGGUUAUGCUACCCAAGGAAAAUCCCAUAUUUUCCUAUGUGAUGUGUUGUUUAUUUGUUUCUAAUUUUGUUACUAGUUGUUAUGUUACUUCAGGAAAAUCCCAUAUUCUCCUAUGUGUUGAGGUUGGUUCUUAAGUUUGAUUUCGAAGUGCUAAUGAUUACCAUACUUGCAGUAUUAGUUAAGUAUUCUAAACUCUUAGUUAUCCUACAUUCGAAUGUCUAUCAUCUACUAACUUAGUUGUAUUUUCGAAUAUUUGGAUUCACCAGAAAGGUACAUUACAGUAUUUUCGAUUAUUCUGAUGAUUUCUAAAAGAGUACAUUAGUUGUAUUUUCGUAUCACUGGUGACAUUCUAAGGCGGAUGUAUUCGAAACUCAGUAGAGGUCUAGAGGCGUACUUUCGUAUUAAAUUCGAAACUCUGGUGACAUUCAAGGCGUACACUAACUGUAUAUUCGUAGUCUUGGUGUCAUCCAAAGGCGUUAUUUCGCAUUCGUAGUCCUAUUUCUAUUCGUAUUCGUAUUCGUUCUAUCCUAUUAGUUAUAUUCAUAUUCGCACUCGUAUUCAUACUAACCUAAUAGUUAUAUUCGUAUUCGUAUUAGUAUUCAUAUUCGUACUAUGCUUUUGGUUAUAUUCGUAUUCGUAUUCUUAUUCGUAUUAGUAUUUGUAUUCGUACUAUACUAUUGGUUAUAUUCGUAUUCGUAUUCGUAUUCUUAUUUGUACUAUCCUAUUGGUUAUAUUCGUAUUCACAUUCGUAUUCGUAUUCGUUUAGUAUUAAUCUUAGUUAUGAUUAGUAUGAUUUCUUUUACAAAAAGUAAUAUAGUUUAAAACACUUUUUAAAGAAAUCUGACUUUAGUCUAACUGUUUACCCUGCAAUUCGAACCAUUAGUUAACACAAAUUUUGAAAUUUGAAACAUACAUAAAAUGAACAUUGAACUAAAAAUAAGUUUAAGUACAAGAUUUCCUUGUACUUUUGCUUGUAUUCCCCCCUGAAAACAUUUGAAAAACAUUUGAAAAAGGGUAGGGGUAUGAACUCACCGGUUGAGAAACGCGUCAGUUUGGAUCCUAAGCAUCAGUUCUGGGUUCGCGAACGCACAAGAUUCCUAUGGAUUAUGAAAUGAUACACAUUCAUAUCUAAUUAGUACUUGAUUAAUUUAUUUGAUAGGGACAUACACUUCUAAUUGCGGAAACACCCCAUUACAAGUAUUUGGAAGGACCCAGGUGGCAUUUAAGGACUUGUAUGACUAUGGAAUGGAGUUUACUCUUCAAGAGUAAACUCCUUAAGGAGUUUACUGCCCUAAAUACCCCAUCCACAUGAGUUCACAGUCGUGAACUCACGNGGAGGGUGCUUUUGGAUGCAAAAUGGCUUCAAAAUACAAGGAUAAUUUAGCUAGGAAUUUAUCUAGGGCAUUAGGAUGAAUUUAGACUUACUUAAAUACCAUUUAUUGGAGUUUACGGUAGUAAACAUGGAGUUUACGGCCGUAAACUCCCCCCUCACAUCCAAUCCUUAAAGUUUUGGUCCUUAAACAAUCACAUGUGAUUCCAAUGAUUUUUCCCAAUCCUUAUAUCAAUUUUUGGGGAACUUUUGGCAUGACUUUAGGAGUUUACGGCCCAUGAACCCCCACAUGGCCAUGAACUCCCUAAAUGGGUGUUUUAUUAUGUUUUAAGGCUUCUAAAUUGAUGGUAGACACUUCUAGAAUUUAUCUCAUGGCUUAAGGUGUGUUUAAGUGGCAUCUUAACACAUUUAGAGGAGUUUACUCCCCAUUUUAAUGAAUUUAUGGCCCACACAUGUUCUUGGGUAGUAAACUCAAGUUUAUUCCUCUAAAUUGAUGUUCAAGGUGUUACAAGGCCAAUUCCAUAAUUCUACAAGUCGUAUCUAAGCCUUAUUGCUGGUUUGGAAGAGUUUAAGGGCAUAAAAACCCCUUUUAUAUGUGUUUACGGCCCAAGCUUGUUCCAGGGCCGUAAACACAUGAACAAGGCUCUAAAUCAUGGUUCAAUGCAUUCUAAGUCCAUUCUAUAAAGUCAUCUAGCCAUAUCUAAGGUCUAAUUGUGGUUUGGAAGGGUUUUGUUGCUAAAAAACCGCAUUUAUAUGAUUUUACGGCCUAGGACUGUUCUAGGGCCGUAAACACCUGAUAAUGGUCCUAAUCCAUGGUUUAAACUCGAAUUUGAAGGCUAGAGGGGUUGUAUAAGAAGUUAGGGAAGGUACCUUUGUGAUUAGAAGCCUUAAAUUUGAGAUUUCGACCCUGAAACUUGAAUUUAGGAGAGAGGUUAGAGAUAGAGUAAAGAGAUGAAGAAAAAGCUUCAAAUGAAAGCUUGAACACGUUUAUAUAUGUCCCAAAACAUAGACAGGGUGAAAUUCUACCCGAUACCGACAUUAAACGGGGCUUUUGGUCGCACCCGAUUAAGUUUCCGUAAUUUGACGUGAUAGAAUUUAGAAAUUUCAAAUUAAUGAUUUUGCGCCAUUUUCAUAAGUUUUUAAAUGGAUUUGAACACUCAUGAGAUUAAAAUAAACUUAUAAGUUUAUAUAUCUUAGCCCAAAAACGAAAACGGGACGAAUCGAUAAAGGCGGACUUUUACGCGCGAAACGGGUUUCGUCAAUGGACAACUUCGGGUUGUUGCAUUAUCCCCUCGUUAGAGGGAAUUUCGUCCCUAAAUUCGAAGACUAAGAUACCGAACAAGAAUUGGAAUGAGAUACAGAUGGAUUUUCUGCUCUGAGUUUUCACGCUCCCAAUUGGAAUUGGGUAUCCGCUUGACGUUCCAGCGAACCCUCAAUAUCGGGACGCGUUUUGGUUUCGUUGGGUAGGUACUUCUUAAGAACCGAGACGUGAUGUAUCAGAUGGGUGAUACUAAGUUCCAAGGGUAACUGGAGUUUGAAGGUUACGGAAUCGUUCCUACAAGUAUCGCGAAGGGUCUAAUGUUACUAAGUUACAGGUUUCUAUAGGUAUCUCUGGUGCCGACUAGUUCCCUAUCGUCUUAGCUUUUGGAAAGGUCCACGGGUAUGACUGCUUUGCUUAUCUACAUAACCAGGGAAAAUGGUUUGACCGAAGGGCACCACUACGAACUCGUGGUGAUCAUGCCAGGUCCUGGUUGCUGCCUUGUACACAUCAUUCUUACUGAGGUUUGGCUACUAGGUAGUUCUAGGAAUUAGGUUGAUACAAGAAUUAACUAGACAUUCGGAAGGAAUUCUCGAGAAUUUUCAGGAAAGGCAUCGGGGAAAGAGUUGCAGACUUCUUGUUUCCCGAAUAUCACACGGACGAGGAAUGCAUGGGAAAAUUUCUAAGCUUUGAUACACGAAGAUGCUAAUGUUGGAUUUAAGUUUGAUGCCAAGAAUCAUGAGAGUCGGUUCAGAAGAAAGAUUCGAACUGACGACCCUUUCGAAAACAAGAAUAACAACAUGAAUGAGACUCAGUCAUUACAUGCCAAUGAUCUCAUCAAAGCUUUUCACGAAAAGUUUACCAUUAGAUCGAAUGGAAAGGAUUAAUCAUCCAAAUUGAGGAUACGAGUUAAGGGUAUGACGUUAACGUUCUCUUUCUUACUGGUUGGUCAUCUCGACGGUACAUGUUCCGAUUACUAACGAAGGAUUUAGUUUAGAAAAAUAUUUGAAUGAAUGGUUAGCAAAUUAUUUCAGCAUUAGAAUCGAAAAGAAUCAUGGGCACAACAUUCAUCGAGGAGAAGUAUACCUGUGGCAACGGUGGGGUCGGUGGCUGUCCUUUCUUGUCCCAUAGUUAAGACUCUUCCGAUGUUGCAAGAUAUUACUGUCUUAGGACAGUUUCGUCUAUAAUGCCCGACCUCUCCACAACUAUAGCAAGUUUGACCGAUACCAGCUCCGGAAGCUUGACUAUUUGAUUGGGUUUGGGUUCUGCAGUUUCGCGCUAGGUGACCUUCCUGGCCACAACUUUUACAAAACUUUGCACGACAUGGGCCAGGGAUGCGAUGGUGGUAGCUACAUCGGUUACACCACGAGAGGAUACCGGCAUAUCCGGUGAUGGGUGCUUAGGCUGAGGAACCUACAACAAAUACAACAACAGGGGUAGUGGCAGCGAGGAAUGCCACUAUAUGCUGUUUCUUCGAGGGUUCUAGGGAAGACUGACUCUUCUUCUUCUUUUUCCAAAACUUUCUUUUCUCGCCACUCUUUUCUGUUGGCUCGAGAGUGGUGUCUGCUUCUUCUUGGUCAUCAUUGUAAUCGAUCAGGGUUUGCGCUAGACAUUUGGCGCUGUCAUAGUUAUCCGGCUUCGCAGCUAAAACGUUCCCUUUUGUUGGUUGGGUUAAUCCCCAGAUGAACCUCUCAAUCUUUUUGCUCUCCGGGGUAAAUAACCCCGGACAAAGCAGUGCUAAGUCAUCAAAUAUGGAUGUGUAUGUGGUGAUAUCGGAACCUUCAUGUUUAGGUUCCAGUGUUCAUGCUCCAGCUUCUGGAUUUCACCCCGAGGGUAAUACUCCGCACGCAGAAGUUCCUUCAUAACUUCCCAUCCCAUAGCAUUGGCUACAGGUAGAGUCAGGGAUUUGACUCGGUCGUUCCACCAAGUCAAAGCUUUAUCAGUGAGCGUACAUGCGGCAAAUUUUACCUUGUCAGAUUCCGAACAGGCACAAAUCGAAGAUAGAUUCGAUCUUUUCUAACCAUCGAGUUAGAACAAUGACACCUCCUGUGCCAUCGAAGAACGUGGGUUUUACGUUCAUAAAGUCUUUAUAGGAACACUCCUUCCGGUGUCCCUGAUUACUUUCCGGGUUUUGGGUUUGGGUACCACCCCCUGAACCACUAGGGUUUAGUUGAGAUAGGUAGCUGAUAUUGUGGCAAUAAUGGCUGCCUGAAGUGUUUCUUGAUCAAUUUGAAUAGGAAGUGGUGGCGGCGGAGGGUUGUUGGUCUUUGAGUUGGGUCUUUUCCUCGGAGGCAUCUUGAUCUAAAAUAACCAGGAAAGGGAGGAUCAUAAGUCCUCUGAAUUGAAUCAAGAGAUACUGAACAGGGGAUAUCUCAUUAAGACAGAUAUUCUAUUAAGUGGUAAAACAGGAAGGAGUUAUCAAAGCAAAUGAUUUAUCGCUAAAGGAAUGAUCAAGGAACAACGCUUGAAUGAGAACUUCUACAAUGGAUCGGCUCGAGAAAUACUCCCAUAAUAUUUCAUGGUUCGCUGCGACGACGACUUGUUGUUUGGGGUAUUGGGUAAGUUUUAGGUAUGAUGCGUACCACAUUCACUCCCAAGCACAUGUUGGCCGUGUCUCGAAUGAAUAUAGUUGGCCAGGCUAUAUUGACCCUAGACACGACUACAUAACUGCCCAGGUUUAACCGCAGCGUAUAACACCCAUUUACUUAUAUUUUGUUCUACUUGUAGUUGCGGAUUUCGACGGUUCAGUAUACUUGUAUACCUUAGAAAAUACUUAUAUUUGUAGAGUAUACUUUUAGUUCAGAGUAGUUAGGCUCCUUAAUGUUUAUAGUCUUAUACCAUGUAAGCAUUGGUAUACUAGUUCACUAUAAACAAGGGCUCUGAUACCAAUCUGUCACACCCCGAAAACCAAAGGCGGAAACAUUUACGGGGUUGAUUCCACGUUGAGUAUCAAAUCCAAUGCACAUAGUAAAACAGUAAACACAAAACAUUACAUUACAUAAUAUUGUUUACAUCUGUUUGAAAGAAAAGUUAUACAAGUGUGAUAUACAUCAAAAGCAAAGACGAGUCUUCGGAACGCUCCGUCUUCUCCAAGAGAUGGUUGUGUACCUGUCUAACGUUGACCUGAGAAUACAAGCAGUUUGAAAAUCAGCAUAAAGCUGGUGAGUUCAUAAGCGGUUUAGUUUUGAAAAGAGCGAGUUUCCUUUGCUUUCUGAAAAAGUUGUUGUUCAAGAAAAUCCCAUAUUUUCUUAUGAAAACAGUUUAGUUAUCUUUUGUUACAAAUUCGAAAACGGUUUGUUAUGUCAUUCCAGGAAAAUCCCAUAUUUUCCUAAUAGUUUAGUUAUUCGUUUGUUACUUUAUUCGUAUAUGAGUCGUUAUGCUACCCAAGGAAAGUCCCAUAUUUUCCUAUGUGAUGUGUUGUCUAUUCGUUUCUAAUUUCGUUACUAGUUGUUAUGUUACUUCAGGAAAAUCCCAUAUUUUCCUAUGUGUUGAGGUUGGUUCUUAAGUUUGAUUUCGAAGUACUAAUGAUUACCAUACUUGCAGUAUUAGUUAAGUAUUCUAAACUCUUAGUUAUCCUACAUUCGAAUGUCUAUCAUCUACUAACUUAGUUGUAUUUUCGAAUAUUUGGAUUCACCAGAAACGUACAUUACAGUAUUUUUGAUUAUUCUGAUGAUUUCCAAAAGAGUACAUUAGUUGUAUUUUCGUAUCUCUGGCGACAUUCUAAGGCGGAUGUAUUCGAAACUCAGUAGAGGUCUAGAGGUGUACUUUCAUAUUAAAUUCGAAACUCUGGUGACAUUCAAGGCGUACACUAACAGUAUAUUUGAAGUCUUGGUGUCAUCGAAAGGCGUUAUUUCUCAUUCGUAGUCCUAUUUCUAUUCGUAUUCGUAUCCGUUCUAUCCUAUUAGUUAUAUUCGUAUUCAGAUUUGUAUUCAUACUAACCUAAUAGUUAUAUUCGUAUUCGUAUUCGUACUAUGCUUUUGGUUAUAUUCGUAUUUGUAUUAGUAUUCGUAUUUGUACCAUACUAUUGGUUAUAUUCGUAUUCGUAUUCGUAUUCUUAUUUGUACUAUCCUAUUGGGACCUCAUUUUUCUCACUCAAGACCUCUCCAAAGGUCUGAAAGGACAGAUAAUCUCGACCAAUUCAAAACAUGCAUCAGAAUCAGGACUUUUGGGACAAGAAUGGUGUCACAGCUUCAAAAAACAUAGAUCUACACAAUAUGAAUGUCAAGCAAGAAGCUUUAUACCUCAAAUAGGCUCCAAAGGAUGAUGUCUUCCCAGAUCUAUAAGCUCCAGCCGUUCCUCUCCUUCUUUGACAACUUCUCCUUUCUUUCUUCAUGCUCUCCUUUGCUAAUCCAAGCUUUCCAAGACAAAACACACCCAGUCAAAGAUGUGGGACGACUAUCUUAGGGUUUCUAAGGUUAUGAGAGUGAUUAUGGAGGCUAAGGAGGAAGCCUUUAUGUUCUUUAUAUAGUGGUUGCCUUAAAAUUAGGGUUUUGGGGAUUCUGAGAGUACGCUGGGCAUACUCACCCAAACACCCGCGUUUCUUCCUCCACUACGCUGGGCGUACCCAGCAUGAUCCCUUUUUCAUGCAUGGUCUUCCCUUUUCCACUUUUCCCAUAAAAUGACCAACAUUCCCCUUUCUCUUAAAUCUCAGGGACUCAUACAUAAAUACUUUUAGGAACGGGGCGUUACAAGAAAGCUACGAUUAAAGGUUAGGAUCAUAAUUCUAGUGUUAUGAUUCCUUAAUGUAUACACUAUAGGAUAAAUAUAUGCUAAUAGAUUCCAACAGCUAAUAGGAUGUGUGCUCUUCGCUUCAUUUCCUGUUCUCGUUGGAUUGUGGGCUUGAAAUGAGGUCACCCAAUCUAUUAUCUACCCAACUCUAUAUAUAUCUAUGCUUAGUAUACAUUAAGUCAUCAUAAGGGUACUAGGUAUGGAUCAGGUCAUAGAACACAGAGUCAACGCACAGUUUUUCUAGUACAAAACUUAUUUUUCAAAGUCAAUAGUUUUGGUAUACAAAACUAGAGAUUUCCCAGAUAAGGGCUUAAUCCAUUUUAUUAAGCCAGUACAGUUUUAGAGACUUUAGGUGAGUAACACUAUAACACCUUAGUUUAUACACCAUGUUUAUAUAUAAAACUAAUAUCUAAUAGAUAGUUAAAUGUGUGUUUUCCACCUUACUUCUUGUUCCCGUUGGAUUAUGGGUUUAGGGCAGAUUCACCCAAUUAACUUUCUACCCAAUAUCAUAUUAUAUAUAGCAGUAUAAACAAAGCUUUUAUAAAAGUAGUCACCAUAGUCAUUAUUUUACUAUAAGGAAUAUAGGUUUUCUUAAAGAACUUGUCAUUAGAUAUAAAGGAACCAUUAGAAAUAACUCCAUGAGGAACAAGUGAAUAAACACAGGUUAUAUAUCACAACAAUCUAGCAACCAAUGGAAUGUGUGCUAUCCGCCUUACUUUAUGUUCCUCGUUGGGUUGUGAGCUUGGGGCAGAUGCGCACAAUCGAUUGUGUUGUUUACUCUUAGUAUAUAUAACUUGUACCCACUUAGUACCCAUAGAAAGGCUUGUAGUGUCAUUUUACUUAACUUUCAUUCAAGUAGGAAAUAUAGGAUUUUCUAGAGGAACAGGCGAAGUUUUCAAAACAGAACUUACAGCUUACAUUANAGCGUACAUCACUUGUGCAUAUACAUUUUCAACCACAUUUUACAGCUUACUCACAUCACUAAAAUCUUAUGAACUCACCAGCUUAAUUGCUGAUCAACUCUUUCAAAUAACUUGUAUUCUCAGGAGACUAUUAGACAGGUGCUCAUGCUGGGAAUUUAGAAGAUGGAGCAUUACAGCUUCAAGUCUUGUUUUGUUAUUUGUUUAUGACUUAUAUGUUUUGUGAACACACACAUUGUAAACAAUUUCUUUCUAAAAUGAAAUGGUUGUUCAUUACUUGCUUACCAUGUACAUAUCUCGUGAUACUCGACAUGACGUCCUCCAACCCCGAACGUUUCCGCCGUUCCGGUUUUUGGGGUGUGACAGAUUGGUAUCAGAGCAUUGUUUACAUUGAACUAAGUAUAUCAACCGAUAAAAGAUAUAUGUCUAUAAAUGCAAUGGGGCUUAAGUGCUCUGGAUAAUGAUAUAUUUUAGAGUAUAACUACAAGUUAUAAAAAUAUACCUACUUGCUUAUACGUGUACAUAAUAGAACUAGUGUCACGAGGAGAACAUAACUAAAGUAUUUAAAGGUUAGACACUAUCGUCAACCUGAACAGUUAUGUAAUCAUAGCUAGGAUCAAUAUAGCAUGAUCAACUCUAUUCAUUCGAUAUGUGACCGACAUGUGUUUGGGAAUGAUGUGGUGUUGCAACAGAGAUAAAACUUACCUGAACUCCAGGCAAGAGAACGCCAAAACAAGUACAGUUAGAGUUAGAGUACUAUGGGAGUAUUCUUUGAUACGAUAGCGCGAUAACAUGUUUAGAACAUACCAAGUAAAUUACGUUAGAAUACUAUAGGAUUAUUUUGGUCUAGAUAAAUAACUUAUGUGAUAACUUAAAAGACCCUUGUGGAUAGGUCUAUAAUCUUACAGGGUAUAUUCAUAAAGUUUUAUAUAUAAUCAGGAUCUUAUAGACAUAAAAUAUGUGACCAACGCUUCGCUAUCCAUACCUCUUAAGGAAGUAGUGUUGAGGUGGGACCAAUUAUUCGAAGGUCUAUUUGAUUUUCAAUUAUAUACAAUACAAACUGGUGUACCUUGUACAAUUAUAGGAGGAUUCCAUAGGGAUCACCCCAUAAAGUUACCUUAAAGCUCAUAGGUUCUUUAGUCGCUUUCAUUCUCGCACGACAAGCCUAGAUAGACGUAACCACUUCCUUAUUGUAGAAAACAAAAGAUUUCAGGAGGAACAAGGACAAAUUCAUGAUUAGAUUUCAAGGAAAGAUCAGACGAAGUAACACUGCUCACAUUACAUGUGUUAGAAUUAUUUUCUUACAUGCAGCUGGUAACAGUUAUUCAGGAAACAGAUAUUCAUUCGAGGAUUGUUAUUUCAAAUUCAUAGAGUUUAUUUGUUAUAGAAUCAUUUAUGAAUUUUUCCUAGAACCCUAUGGAAGUCAGGACACGAUACAUCCAGAACUAGGAUAACCUUGUAUUUUCAGCUUUCGGCUUGUGUCUGUUGCUAUAGACUUAUUCUGUCUCAUCUUUGUUUUCUUUUAGCGAAGAUUCCUCCUCGUAGAUCUGUUGCAUUAAUGUCUAAGUCCAUAACUAUAAUCGGUAAGACUUGACCCGACCCGACAUGGUCCAUUUGGGUUGCAUGGCAUCAUGCAUUUGGAUAGACUAUAAUGAGAGAAAUAACACUUAAGGUUGGUUAANAUAAUAAGAUUAUUUAAUUAGUAUUGAUCAAGAAUUAAUCUAGGAUUAAUUAAGUGAUCAAAAGAAGACUAAUUAAAUAUAUGGGUUGAUUGUGUAAAUCAUCCAUACUUAUAUAGUGGGCUAAUGCUCCAUGGAUUAUCUAGUUGGAUGCUUCAUGGAUGCUCCAUGGUGUUUUUGUACCCAUGGAUCAUGGAAAUGAAAGGCCAUGUCAAUUAGGGUUUACAUGGUGUAACCCUAACUAUAUAUGCAUCUUAUUCUUGACCAAAAUCGGCACCAGUAUUAUUCUAGAGAAGCGCUAGCCGAUUUCAAGUGUUCUACAUUUCUCUCAAGAUUAUUCCAAAAGCAAUUGAUGUUGUGUGAACCAUUUGAUGAAGACUUUCUACAUCAAAGAGGUAUGUAUUCUAUCUUGGGGCACUAGGCACUCAAGCUUCAUGAAGACUUUCUACAUCAAAGAGGUAUGUAUUCUAUCUACUUAUAUUCAUUGUUUUGUAUGCUAGAUUAGGAUAAUACCUUUGAAAGUUCAUAUUUUCAUGUAUAAUAGAGAAAACAUAGAUCCAAGGUAUUUAUGGUUGCAUGUACACUUAGGAGUGUUAGAAUGCUCAAAACCCAACAGUGGUAUCAGAGCCUAGGCUUGUUUUCUUAUUAUACUUGGAAAAGUAGCUGAAAAAUCGACUUUUGAUGUUGUCUGUCCAGCAGACUCGCCGAAUCCACUGAUGGACUCGUCGAGUCCAAGGCAAAAUGCAUCCAACUCGCCGAGUUUGUUCGUGCACUCGAGGAGUUGGAACCCCAGACAACAUAUAUUCGAUUGUUUCAGCUGCAAUUGGACUAGUAACAUUACCCUAACAUGUUUCUGGACUUAUAAACUUGUUUUUGAUGUGGUAAUGUUCAUGCUAAUCGAAUUUCAAAGAUAAUUGUCAAUAGAUUCACGUUUUGUAUUAGUUUAAGGUUUAGACUAAUUACAUGAAAAAAUUUGAUUUGAAUAAUCUUGUUCUUAUGAGUUGCUUAGAUUAAUAAAAAGUUAUGUGAAAUUGUUGUUUUCAAUCCAAAUUAAUCUAAGAGUUGAUUCUAAAAUGUGUUUUUGUAACUUGCCCUCAAGUUAUAUGAAAAGUCACAUUUAAGUUUCAUAAAACUUAUAAAAGUUGGCAAAGGUUACAACAAUGAAGAGUCUUGUCUCAUUGAAUGGUUUUAUGACUCCAUAACUUGUCCUCAAGUUAUGGAAGUUCAAGAGUCACUUCAUUAAGUAAUAAAAUGUGUAACCUUAAUUAAUUCCAUAAGUUAUAAAAUAAAGAAAAGUUAAUUCUUUUAUUAGUUUAAAGUCUUCCAUAACUUGUCCUCAAGUUAUGGAACUUGAAGAGUUUUUGGAUUAAAACUACUUUAAACACAUAAGUUAUGGAAUUAAUUAGUUUUGAAUAGUUUCAAAACUUGCCCUCAAGUUUUGGAAUUUGUAAAGUUUUCACUUAUGAAUACUUUAAUUCCAAGUUAGCCCUUAGAAUUUUAAAAGUUAAAAUUCAACCCUUAUACUUUAUAAUAUUAUAAGUUAAUAAUAUAUAUAUGUAUAAGAGUAAAGUCAGUCUUACCGCUAGUACGCCUCAUUCACGAAGCCGGUCUAUAAGGUGGGUAUAAGGUUGUUGCCUAUAAAAUGGCAACUUAAUGGGUGUCCACUCUCACCCACCGCUUGCUUGACUGGUGGAGGGUCGUUAGCCGAACGGGUUUGACAGGACUAGAAUUCUCCCUUCAUUAAAAGUAUUAAUGAUAAUACUAAGUAACUAAACUCUUAAUAAUACCCAAUCUUAGUUACUUAGGAAAAAUGUGAAUAAGGUGCUAAUCCAUGAAAUUACACUUUACACUUUGUCUAAGUCGUUAGUGGAGCGUGUGUGGUUAACCGGCACACUAACUUGGACUUAACAAGGUAGGUAAAGGGUGACUUAAUAUUUAUCAUAGUAUCGAUGGAGCGUGUGUGGUUAACCGGCACAUCGAUUGAGGGGUAAUUUAUUAAGGGUACCAAGUGAUUUGCAUGGUUACUUCACACCUUGUUUUGUGAUCCUCGGCAUCCCAGUCACAAAACCUGAAGGGCACACUCGAGAUUGAAACAUGUCAUUGAACAGUUCAAUGAAUCUCAAAGAUCUAGGAGUUUCAAAACCAAUUAAAACCUAAUAAUACAUUUCGUUUAUCUUGGUGGAAAUUGGUGAAUCUUCAUUCACCUACCUUCAAAUAUUUUAUAGCUUGGAUUACGGCAUCCCUCUUCCAAGCUAUAUAAGUAUUGUGUUGGGUCCUAGCCUUAAUAUUUCAUAUUGGUGUUAUAUUAAGAACUUUAAAUCAACUAUGUUGAAUAUCUCCCAAAAGAUGUCUGGUAUAGACAUUUAUGAUCUUCCCAAAUCUCUUGAAACAAGCUUUCCUAAAUGAAAAUGAUGUCCCAUGGAAAUCAUACUUCUUUCACGUCCUCCAAUUAUUCUCCCUGAUCCACAAGUUCUUGAAAAGUUUAAGGUCACUCAAGCCCUAUUGACAGUUAAUUUUCUAGGUGUGAUCACAUCUUGGAGAUGUAGUCACAUAUUGACAAGCCGGGAGAGUUGGGUGUCAAAGUCUUGAGAAAGUUGGUGGUUCAAUCACUUUCUAAGUCACAUAGUGAGUUCCUUUGGGACACCUAUGAAACAGACUAUGACAAGACCCUUAAUGAUCUUAUCUAUUUGNNNNNNNNNNNNNNNNNNNNNNNNNNNNNNNNNNNNNNNNNNNNNNNNNNNNNNNNNNNNNNNNNNNNNNNNNNNNNNNNNNNNNNNNNNNNNNNNNNNNNNNNNNNNNNNNNNNNNNNNNNNNNNNNNNNNNNNNNNNNNNNNNNNNNNNNNNNNNNNNNNNNNNNNNUAGAUUUAGGAGUUUACUCCCCAAGGUGUUCUUGGGCGGUAAACUCCCGAAACCGAACCUAGACUGUCCCCCGUGAUAUACUACUGCCUUGGACUUGUAUAGGAGUGUAUUAGGGACAUGAAAUCAAGCAAGAAUCACCCAAGUUUGGGAGUUUACGGCUCAAGAGUAUCUUGGACCGUGAACUCCAAAUUCAUGCUCAAAAUGGUGCUUUUAAGGCUCCUAAAGCCUUAGACUUUUACCUAGACUUGUUCCCAUUCAAUCUAAUGCCUUAAACACAUCAAUAACACAUUUCAAAAUGUUUUUACGGCCAUGACAUGGUUCAUGGGCCGUAAAACAUGAUUUAAGGACACCAAAGUGUGUCAAGAGUCUUCAUAUGCUUGGAAUAAAAGCCUAGAACCAAUACCACUUGUGCAAGAGACUUGAAAGCAUCAAAAACAACCAUCCUUAAGANUACAACCGUAAACUCCAAAGGAAAUGGCCUUAGGGCCGUAAACUCCUCUAAGGAGUGUUUCUAGGCCUUAAACCCUUCCAAGAAUUGAACCACCAAGUUGGAAUAAUUCUAGGAAUCAUUUGGAACUUCAAAACACACAAUACACCCAUGGUUGGGAGUUUACGGCCGUAAACUCAAGAGUUUACAACCGUAAACUCCAUGUGUGAUGAUAUAUGCAGAGUAAACUCAUAUAUAGGGUCCUUUGGAACACUAAACCCAAGUAGCUUGUCCCACAAUAGCUUAAAUGCAAUCCUUAGGUCUUAAAGCACUUAUAUAAAGUGUUUAUUAUGUUCUAGGAUGUCUUAACUUUAUCAAUUAGUAAUUUGAGUCUAAUUGAGUGCAUAUAUGUGUGAUUAUAUGUUCUUUAGGAUCGUAGUGUGUGUACAAGUCCUCACUUGACACCUAACAAUCCUACACCGUCCAGUUCAGCUAAACUACCAACUACAGGUGAGUUCAUACCCCUAAUCAAUGUUUUAAAUGAUUUUAAAUGCUUUAAAAGGGGGGUAAUACAAGUAGAAACAAAUAUGUUAUUAAAUCAUUGAUAUGUAUUUUAUAACUGUGUUUGUCAUUUAACAGAUUUCACAUACUACAAAAUGUGAUGCAUGAAAUGGUUUUAAAUCUUAAAAAUACUUUGUUAUCAAAUGUUUUACUUUUGAAAUGUUUAUUAAAAUGACAUCAAGUCAUUGUUAAUUAUUGUUGAAAACCCAUAUGAUGUCUUACAAAACCAUUUUACAUUCUUGAACUAAACUAUGCAUAUACACUUAUAUUCUUAUAUAUGUAUUGAUGUUAUAGUUUACAUCUUUCAUUUAGUUUCUCACACCCUUGAGUAGUAAGAGUGUAUAAACCUAUUUGAACAACUAAUUACCUUUCAGUAAAUUAUCAUAGGGAUAAUUUGAAGAUAUCAAACAUUAUUCCUAUUACAAGGAAUCACACAAGAGUCAGUUCAUUCAUGAGUCUAUACUAGUACAUUACCUGAUACGUGAUUACAUAUACAUAUGCUUACCUGAUGCAUGAAUAUGUUUACAUAUACUUACCUGUUACAUGAACACACUUACAUUAAUACCAUACAAGAACACUUUUACAUAGGUGCAUUAUCCUAUAUUCACUUACCUGGAUACUUGUACAUAGAUCUACGAGGAUGAUUUAUUAGUACUUUCUGUGUAAAUUAUCUUUCCUAUCCGGGUUCGAUGGGAUAUCUCGACGGGACUUACCAUUCCGAACCCCACUGAUUAGCACCAGUGGUCGAUGACCAUCUACGGAGGUCUAAGGUUACUACUUAUACCAGGUAGAUCGAUAACCAGGGCUAACCCCUCCACCCACCUGGUGCUACAGAGGACAAGCGGUCAAUCUUCGAUUGUUCUUAAGGUUAUACCUUUUGCUUAUUGCGAUGUUGUGUUACUCCUACUACCCAGCGAUGACACUUACAUUAAUACUUUUUCUGGACAAUUUCGGAUGUUCAUUAGGUUACAUAUUUCGCUUAAUGGGAUGUUGUGUUAGUCCUAGUACCCAGUGACAACACUUACAGUAGUACAUUUUCCUGUUUACUUUAUUUUGUGAUACUUUCACAUAAACCAUGAGUUAGACUAAGUAAUUUAGUACUAAACAAUUGAAGUAAAAACUAUCAUUUUACUUACAAAACAUUCGGGUCUUGGUAGAAGACUACAUCUCAAACUGAUAGAAAAUAGGGGAUUUUCUAGGGCCUUUCAUACUUAUAUCAACAUUUUCAUUUAAAGGUUUGCAUGACUUUUAAAACAGCUUUUCAAAGCAAGACAAUGACACUUAAAUACUUAUGAAUUCACCAGCAUUAAAGUUGAUACUCUCUUUGAAAAUAACUUGUAUUCUCAGGUCAACAGUAGACAGGUACGAUGGCCAGGUUUUGAGAAGACGAAGCAAAGUCUCGUCUUUUAUUCUGAUUGUAUAUUUUUGGUGUCUUACUACAAUGAAAGAACACACAUGUAUUAGAACUCUACUUCGAAUGCAAUGGAUGAUGUUGUUGCUUGUUUAUUAUAUUACACUAUUGUGAUACUAUACAUGACGUCCUCCGCCCCAGAACGUUUCCGCCGUUCGUGGUUUUGGGGUGUGACAGAUUGGUAUCAGAGCAUUGUUUAUAGUGAAUAUAGUAUAUCAACCCAUAAAAGAUAUACUAACUAUAAAUACAUUGGGAUUAAAACACUCUGUCUAAGAGUUAUACUUUUAAAAAAUAAAAUAUUUAAGUAAGUAUACAUGCCUGCAUUCAUACUAAAAUUUGUGUCACAACGACAAGAACAAAAGUAUUACGAUUGUUGAAUAUCACAAGUAAGCCUGGGGAUAUAUGGUCAGUCUUGGGAAUGGCAUAGCCUGAUCAACUAUGCUGGUCCGAGGAGUGAUUAGCAUAUGCCCAAGAAUGGUUGUGAUAUGGCAACAAGUAUAAAAACUUACCAACACAACCAUAAAGAAAUACCAUAGGGGUAUUUGGUCUUACUGUAAUUAUCUUAGUCGGUUCGUCUAUUUAGCAAUUUCUUAUAUCCCUUUUCUCGCGUAGAUUAAAAUGGUUGGAUUUCACCAUGGCAAUCCAUACUUCCCGAACCAAGGCAAUGCUGGUUGGCUAGAGGCAGAACCAGAUGAUGAUCACCCAAUCCCUUUGGAUGAUCACCUUGCUGAGGGUUUUCCCGAUAGUUCUGACUCCGAGCCUAAAGUCAACAACCUACCCCCAGCUGCUCAAAACCCAAACCUGAACCCCCGUCCUGCGUUUCAAGGACCCACGCCUCUGUGGGCCACUAUCUUGGCUAGAUGGAGCCAGGAACAAGGUCAGCCCAUUCCCUACAAUGGAUACCGAAGUUUCUACAACUUCACUGAAGGAGGUUAUGCUGACAGGGUCCUACCCAUCAUGGUUCGUAGAAUUUCCAGAAACACAAUACUGGGUCAGGCAACUAUUGACCGGGUCAUGGAGAUUGAAGCCAACUCUGGCGUUAACACUGUCCACAUUCGCCAACUAGAGUAUGUUCAUCAAAGGACUCUGGCCCGCAAUGCAAAUCUGUAGAGGGAACUUGCUGAAACUCAAACUGAAGUUAGGGAACUUCGAGCUCAGCAAGUGAGAGCUGACAGGCGUAUGAGGGACAUGGAACGUCUACUGUCGGGAUCAAGAACUCAUGCUAGCAGUUCUCGUCGCCGAUAGAAUCUCGUCGACUCAUCUUUUGGAUAUAACCUAGUUUAUGUAAAACUUUGGUCUAAUUUCCUAUCUUUAUAAAUCUUAGACCUGUUAGGUCUUGAUCUAGUCUUAAUUCUGUCAAAAUUUUCCAUCUUGGUUGAUGUAAGGCCUACUUCUAGGCCAUUUUUCCCGAACUUGUUACAUCUGUAAUUCCAGUAUUAUUGACAGAUAUCUAAUCUUAUAGAAAUUAUUAUCCAAAUGCUAUCUUCUUCAUUUAGUCAUUCUAUUUAUUCUGUUGUUGGGCUAUGGGGAGUUAGUCCAUGAAUCAAAUUCAUUGUUCAUUUAUUCUUAUCCAUGUCGUCAUCUUUUAAACGUACAGUUAAAGAUGCCGCCACGCAGAAGUACAAGACGUAACCCAAACAACGAAGCACCGAUACCACCACCUCCACCACCACCUGAACCUCUUCAACCACCUACUCCUUUUGAUGCCAACAUGUUCUAGGAAGCUUUCACAGUGGCGGUUGCAGUUGCUGUGUCAGCAAUCAAUGAUCCUAUCCCUAGUGGAUCGGGAUCAGGUGCACCUCCCUCCAACCACGGCGAAAGCCAUUGUUAAUUAUUGUUCAAAACCGAUAAGAUGUCUUACAAAACCAUUUUACAUUCUUGAACUAAACUAUGCAUAUACACUUAUAUUCUUAUAUACGUAUUGAUGUUAUGGCUUACAUCUUUCAUUUAGUUUCUCACACCCUUGAGUAGUAAGAGUGUAUAAAACUACUUGAACAACUAAUUACUUGUCAAUAAAUUAUCAUAGGGAUAACUUGUAUUCUCAGGUCAACAGUAGACAGGUACGAUGGCCAAGUUUUGAGAAGACGGAGCAGACAAGUCUCGUCUUUUAUUUUGAUUGUAUAUUUUUGGUGUCUUACUACAAUGAAAGAACACACAUGUAUUAAAAGUCUACUUAUAAUGCAAUGGAUGAUGUUGUUGCUUGUUUGUUAUAUUACACUGUUGUGAUAUUGUACAUGACGUCCUCCACCUCUGAACAUUUACAUCGUUCGUGGUUUUGGGGUGUGACAUUGGCAAGUGAAGUUCUAUGUGUGGUCACAUCUUGGAGAUAUAGUCACAUAUUGACAAGCCGAGAGAGUUGGGUGUCAAAGUCUUGAGAAAGUUGGUGGUUCAAUCACUUUCUAAGUCACAUAGUGAGUUCCUUUAGGACUCCUAUGAAACAAACUAAGACAAGACCCUUAAUGAUCUUAUCCAUUUGCUAAGAUCAACUUCCUAAAACUUUAUGGACAUUGACAAUUAUGACAUUUGAUAUCCAGUAAAGCUCUCUCUUCCCAAUGGAAAGGGAUCGGCCAUAAUCAACUCGGUUGACCAAAUGGUAAAGAGAAAGGCUAAGUCUGUGAUACUCCCAUGUUCCAUUACCAAAGUGUCCAUAUGUCAAAAUUGCCAAAGGAAGGGGCAUUGGUUGCGAAGCUGCCAAUUUACCUAAGUGUGUUAAAGUCAAUAAGGUUGACCCUACUUCAGGUAAAGUCCAGUAUCUAACUAUGAUAAGUUUCUAUUCUCAGACUCUUGAUACAUAAUGUGACUGGGUCACAUGGUGAUGUUUUAAGAAUCAAAGAAAAGUGAAGGAACCUAAAGAAAGAAUAUGUUGAAUCUGAUCGCGUAGAUAGAUUUCUAUCGCAUAGUUUGAAGAUCGGAUUCUUGAGCUACUUCUUAGGAGUUAUGAGCUAUUUCUUAGGAAUACAUAACAACAAGUUAUCAUAUGGAUUGUAAGGAUAAGUUUUUCCGCAAAGUUUUUAAAAUAAAAGGAAAUUUUUUAUUUAAUUUAUUCUAAAAUAUCCUUACAAUGGCAUUUGUGGAAAUUUUUGUUGCUUAUAAGAUUACGUUAAGAGCAAGAGUGGAAAUAUGAAUUUGAUUCUUUCAUUUGUGGUAGUGUCUAAAUUUACCAAAUAAGGAAAUAUUCUCAUCACCCAAGUUUCAGUUGGAUAGAAACGUGGAAUCAUGCAAGGUGUAUAACAUGAUGAAUGAGAACUUUCAAGCAUUGAACAAAUUAAGGCAGAGCGAAUAAUAAGAAUCAAAUUAGGCAGAAGGAUAAAAUUUCUCAAAUCUUAAAAGAUAGGUGAGUACUUUAGUAUCNNNNNNNNNNNNNNNNNNNNNNNNNNNNNNNNNNNNNNNNNNNNNNNNNNNNNNNNNNNNNNNNNNNNNNNNNNNNNNNNNNNNNNNNNNNNNNNNNNNNNNNNNNNNNNNNNNNNNNNNNNNNNNNNNNNNNNNNNNNNNNNNNNNNNNNNNNNNNNNNNNNNNNNNNNNNNNNNNNNNNNNNNNNNNNNNNNNNNNNNNNNNNNNNNNNNNNNNNNNNNNNNNNNNNNNNNNNNNNNNNNNNNNNNNNNNNNNNNNNNNNNNNNNNNNNNNNNNNNNNNNNNNNNNNNNNNNNNNNNNNNNNNNNNNNNNNNNNNNNNNNNNNNNNNNNNNNNNNNNNNNNNNNNNNNNNNNNNNNNNNNNNNNNNNNNNNNNNNNNNNNNNNNNNNNNNNNNNNNNNNNNNNNNNNNNNNNNNNNNNNNNNNNNNNNNNNNNNNNNNNNNNNGCUUUCACAGCGGCGGUUGCAGUUGCUGUGUCAGCAAUCAAUGAUCCUAUCCCUAGUGGAUCGGGAUCAGGUGCACCUCCCUCCAACCACGGCGAAAGCCAUUGUUAAUUAUUGUUCAAAACCGAUAAGAUGUCUUACAAAACCAUUUUACAUUCUUGAACUAAACUAUGCAUAUACACUUAUAUUCUUAUAUACGUAUUGAUGUUAUGGCUUACAUCUUUCAUUUAGUUUCUCACACCCUUGAGUAGUAAGAGUGUAUAAAACUACUUGAACAACUAAUUACUUGUCAAUAAAUUAUCAUAGGGAUAACUUGUAUUCUCAGGUCAACAGUAGACAGGUACGAUGGCCAAGUUUUGAGAAGACGGAGCAGACAAGUCUCGUCUUUUAUUUUGAUUGUAUAUUUUUGGUGUCUUACUACAAUGAAAGAACACACAUGUAUUAAAAGUCUACUUAUAAUGCAAUGGAUGAUGUUGUUGCUUGUUUGUUAUAUUACACUGUUGUGAUAUUGUACAUGACGUCCUCCACCUCUGAACAUUUACAUCGUUCGUGGUUUUGGGGUGUGACAUUGGCAAGUGAAGUUCUAUGUGUGGUCACAUCUUGGAGAUAUAGUCACAUAUUGACAAGCCGAGAGAGUUGGGUGUCAAAGUCUUGAGAAAGUUGGUGGUUCAAUCACUUUCUAAGUCACAUAGUGAGCUCCUUUAGGACUCCUAUGAAACAAACUAAGACAAGACCCUUAAUGAUCUUAUCCAUUUGCUAAGAUCAACUUCCUAAAACUUUAUGGACAUUGACAAUUAUGACAUUUGAUAUCCAGUAAAGCUCUCUCCUCCCAAUGGAAAAGGAUCGGCCAUAAUCAACUCGGUUGACCAAAUGGUAAAGAGAAAGGCUAAGUCUGUGAUACUCCCAUGUUCCAUUACCAAAGUGUCCAUAUGUCAAAAUUGCCAAAGGAAGGGGCAUUGGUUGCGAAGCUGCCAAUUUACCUAAGUGUGUUAAAGUCAAUAAGGUUGACCCUACUUCAGGUAAAGUCCAGUAUCUAACUAUGAUAAGUUUCUAUUCUCAGACUCUUGAUACAUAAUGUGACUGGGUCACAUGGUGAUGUUUUAAGAAUCAAAGAAAAGUGAAGGAACCUAAAGAAAGAAUAUGUUGAAUCUGAUCGCGUAGAUAGAUUUCUAUCGCAUAGUUUGAAAAUCGGAUUCUUGAGCUACUUCUUAGGAGUUAUGAGCUAUUUCUUAGGAAUACAUAACAACAAGUUAUCAUAUGGAUUGUAAGGAUAAGUUUUUCCGCAAAGUUUUUAAAAUAAAAGGAAAUUUUUUAUUUAAUUUAUUCUAAAAUAUCCUUACAAUGGCAUUUGUGGAAAUUUUUGUUGCUUAUAAGAUUACGUUAAGAGCAAGAGUGGAAAUAUGAAUUUGAUUCUUUCAUUUGUGGUAGUGUCUAAAUUUACCAAAUAAGGAAAUAUUCUCAUCACCCAAGUUUCAGUUGCAUAGAAACGUGGAAUCAUGCAAGGUGUAUAGCAUGAUGAAUGAGAACUUUCAAGCAUUGAAAAAAUUAAGGCAGAGCGAAUAAUAAGAAUCAAAUUAGGCAGAAGGAUAAAAUUUCUCAAAUCUUAAAAGAUAAGUGAGUACUUUAGUAUCGGUUUUUAUGAUCAUCUUAAUGAUUUAGAGACCUUGUCAUAAUUCAUGCUAUAAGUUCCUUCUUAUAGAUAAGAAGAGGAGCUUUGAAUUGUUGAAAUCAAGAAGACGACUCAUACUUCGUUCCAAUACAAGUCAUAGAGUCAUACUCCAAGAUUGUAACUUGAGUGACAUGUCUUAAUGAAGGUUUAAAAUACUUGUCAAAUGUAAGAGUAANUGAAGGUUUAAAACACUUGUCAAAUGUAAGAGUAAAUGUUUUUUACUCUUGUACAUUUGAAAUUGGUAAUUUGUGAUGUUUUGGAUAAAACAAAGACCAACUAAGGCCAAUUGUGUGAAGUGUUUGUCUUGAUUAGAAUCCACACUAUCUCUUGAAUAUCUGACAAGAAAGUCUUAUAUGGACAGUGGGAGUCUUAAAGGUCUUGAAAGUCUCAAGAACUAAUCAAGAAUAAAAACCUAAAGUUAAAGUUGGCUUUACAUAUGAUGUUGACAUAUUCUGUGCUCAUUCCAGUUAAAGUUGGCUUUAUAUAUGAGUCCUUAGAGUUCUCAAUUGGUUUCACAACAACUUGGAAGAAAUGGCAAGCCAUUUGAGCUGCCAGGUGGCAAGAAAUUAAGAUUGAGUUCAGUCCAUAUGAGUUUGGAAUUGUCAUUAUCCUUGUCUUGUGACUAUGGUUUUUACAAUUCACAUGGAUAAGAACACAUAAACCAGUAAAUCUAAGUGUCAUAAGGUUUCUCUCCGAUUCAUGAAAAUGAUGGUGAGGAAACACUUUCACUAAGUAGAUUUUAGUUAGAUAGAAAUUGUAAUAUUUGCAUUCUCAAAGUCGUUAGUGGAGCGUGUGUGGUUUACCGACACACUAACAUGGACUUGUGAGAAGUGGCAAUGAUCUAAACAAUUCAGACUAUGAUUACGACAUCCCUUUUCAUAGUUCUAAAAUUGUUUAGACACACCUGUGAGCUAUCUAAAAGAGGUGUAUGAUUUUGAUAAAGUUUUAUCAAAACAAUCUAGUAUCAGAAAUCUGAACUUUGGUAAGAAAGUCAGCUAAUUUCUGAGUACAUGUCAAAGCUAGUGGGAGCAUAAGUGUUAUGCUAAUAAUCAUCAUGUUAGUGGGAGCAUGAUAAUUAUGAUAAGUAUUGCAAGUUAGCAAUGUUAAUUAUAGAAAACAAAANUAUUCUUGACCAAAAUCGGCACUAGUAUUAUUCUAGAGAAGCGCUAGCCGAUUUCAAGUGUUCUACAUUUCUCUCAAGGUUAUUCCAAAAGCAAUUGAUGUUGUGUGAACCAUUUGAGGUGUCACACUUGGGGCACUAGGCACUCAAGCUUCAUGAAGACUUUCUACAUCAAAGAGGUAUGUAUUCUAUCUUGUUAUAUUCAUUGUUUUGUAUGCUAGAUUAGGAUAAUACCUUGGAAAGUUCAUAUUUGCAUGUAUAAUAGAGAAAACAUAGAUCCAAGGUUUUAGGGUUGCAUGUACACUUAGGAGUGUUAGAAUGCUUAAAACCCAACAAGAUAACCCAGACACGCUACUCCGAUAACUCCCAUACCUUCUCCACAAAUCGAUGCAGCAACUCUGAACGAUGCAGUGGCCGCGGCUGUGGCAACAGCAUGGCACAAUAUCACCCCAUCAGUACGGGUGGAGGUGAAACGCCUGUCGAUUCCACUCAAGGUGAGGUCCCUAUGCGCCCGGGAGAGUUCUCCUACAAGGACUUCACCAGAUGCCAACCAUUGUACUUUAAUGGGACUGAAGGAGUCAUUGCUCUCAUGUAAUGGUUCGAGAAAACAGAGUCGGUCUUCGAAAUCUGUUUAUGCCCAGAAGGAAGCAAAGUGAAGUUUGCUUCCUGCACCUUCUCUAGCAAGGCCAUAACAUGGUGGAACAGCCAUGUUAAGUCAUUGAAUCUAUCAGUGGCAAACUCAAUAGGUUAGGAAAACCUAAAAGAGUUAAUGCGGGAAGAAUAUUGCCAGUUAGGCGAGAUUCAAAAAUUGGAACAAGAGCUGUGGGAUCUCACUAUGGUCGGCUUAGACAUAGUGACCUACACAGACCGGUUCAGCGAACUAGCAGCUCUAUGCCCCGAGAUGAUUGCCUUAGAGGGCAAGAAGAUAGAAAUGUACAUUUGGGGUCUGACUGCUCCGACCCAAGGAAAUGUAUUUUCUUCUAACCCAGCCACGUUUGAUAGUGCUACAUGCCUGGCUCAGCGACUCAUCGACCAUGGAGUCCGCCAUGGUGUAAAAGUCCCUACUCUGGAGCCAUCAAGGGAAGAGGACUAUAAUCACAAGUCGGAGAACAAGAGAAAGAAGAAGCAAACAACACAAGACACCACGCAAGAGCAACAUCCGAGUACUAUUUACGCCGCAACGACGCCUACUCCUUCAGCCCUGCCAGUUGUUAUGCUGGAAACCUUCCAAAGUGUGGAAAGUGCAAGUUUCACCCUACCUGAGUAUGCCGAGAAAUGCAGUGUCUGAACUGCAACAGAAAGGGACACACAGUCCGUUACUGGAGGGCACCGGCUCAACCGAUCUCCCAAGUCCUCGGAGCUGAAGAAAACCAAACCUGCUAUGGCUGUGGUGAGACUGGACAUAAUCAGAGGGACUACCUGAUAAUCAGGAACUCAGGUGCGGAUGGACGUAUUCUGAUGAUCACUGCAGGAGAAUCAACCCCGGAGUCGUCGACGAGUAGUGAUACAUUUUCAAAUUAGUAAUUACUUUUAAAAAUUUAUUUAUAUUCAUAUAAGAUUAAAAUUUGGGGAUGACACUUAAAAGUAACUAUAACAACUCACAUGUUGAAAUAGGUCACAAUAUUCAAGACAAUUAAAAGAUCACUUAGAGAAGCUAUUAUGGCUCACCAUAUACAUCAGGGUUGUGCGCAACUAUGAUGUUGUAGACUUAGAGUGAGUGACUCCGCUUAGGUCACCUUUCCUUAAUUGGUUGAGGAUUUGAGGCAGAGAUGCUCAGUCGACUGCCUGGCUCAUCUUAAGUAUUCACAACUUGUAUAUGACGGGCGAUGGUAGUGGUACCAUGGGGGAUCAUGGUAUAAAAGUAUCCCUUCAGUUAAUAAAGCACUUUUAUUUGUAUGUAUGCGCACAUUGCGGUAUGAUACAUACGAGUGUUAACGUCGAAUACAAGGCAGGAAACACGAGAACAGUUACAAGGAGUACAUUGUUAAACAUACUAGGAGUAUAGUACCAAGCAUACCAAGGAUACAUCGUCGUUUUUCGGACGUUUCUUUCAUUUGACCAAAACUUUCUUCAGUAUAGAGUCCGUUGUUUUCUUUCGUCAUGAGUUGGUGUGGUCCUCACCAUACUGAGUUCAUAUGAUUAUAUCGCCUCGAUCGGCAAGUUCUCGAAACUUUUAUCAUUCGUAUCGAAAGUCCGAGCUGAAUCAAUAAUUUAAUCUUUCGCAUUCUAAACCCCGAAGUACUCGUGCGAAGAGUACUUUGUCCUCCGAAGCCUUAUCGUCAGAUGUCCGCAGACCGUCACGAAAUACCACUCGUCCAGCAGACCAAGUUCGAGCAUAGAGGUUAUGGACAAAUACAGCCCGCCUAUUAUUAUUUAGUAUAUAUGAGAGGGUGGUAUAUGAGUAUGAUUACGCAGAUCUAGUAUGUGUGUUUUCGCCCUAUCUCCUGUCCUCGUUGGGUUGUGGACCUGGGGUAGAGUCGCACAUCCGAUAGUCCUACUAAUCCUAAUUGUAUAUGGCUUGUAUACACGAGGUAAUGAUAGUUGGACCAAGUAUGAAUCCUAUCAAGAACACCAGGGAAAAGUUGCCAGGUCUACAAGUGAGUAUUCUGCGAAUCAGAAGAGCGCAACCCCAGUAGUUAUGUUAAGAAAUCUAAUUUCGGGUUGAAAUUCCCUCUAACAGGGGAUGAUGUGACAACCCGAAAUUUUUUUAUUUUUAUAAGCUUAGUCAGUCAACUCAACUGAGUGUCAAAAUCAUUAGUACAGAGUUCUAGCCUUGUUACAGGUCAUUCUAUGGAGUUUUGAGCCUAAUACACUUAAGGAAUAAGUGUUAGAAAGUACCCGCUAGAACCACAGUGUAGCAAAACGAACCCUAACCUCAUCUAAUUGAGUUCACGGCCACAAGACCAUGAGUUUACAGUCGUAAACUCAUGUGGGCGGAAACUCAAGAGUAUAUAUAGGGCAUUGAGUAAUUUCUUAUCAUUUCUUCCUUUCUUAGCCGGAUUUUCUCCCAAAUCCUCUUAACUAUCAUCCAACCUUCUUCCUUAGAUCUUCAAAAGAGUGAGUAUUCUAUCCUGUGAUUAGUUAAUACAUCUUUUUUAACUAGCUUCUUACAUUGAUUUCAUCCAUGAAAAUAAUGUUUGAUUAGAUACUUAAGAAACACCAAGAACACACACUAGUGUUCUUGGCCAAAUCAACUGGUUUAAGCUCCUAUAUCGUAAGCACUCUAAUUCUAACUUGUUCACUAGAGUAACAUGUCUAGACCUUAGAAACACCAAGAAACAAAGGUUAGAAUAGAGUUUACGGCCAAGGAUGUUCUUGGGCCGUAAACUCCCUUUUAUGGUGCAAAGAUGCCCUAAAUUCCUUCCUUAAGCCUAGAGACUCGCCUACCACUUUACCUUGAUGUGUUUAGUACUCAAAACAAUCAAAAUACCAUCACCCAUAGGUGAUUACGGCCGCAAACACAUGUCAAAGUGGUCCAUGGGCUGAAAACUCAAUUUAACGGUGUAUUGAUGCCGCAAACACUUCCUAAGGCUUAGACUUGUAGUUAGGAUGCUUCAUUUUGACUUUUAGGAACCUAAAACAACUCUCAUAAACAUAAAUGGUCAUGAUUUUACGGUUGUAAACUCAUUAGGGCCGUGAACACCCCAAAAGCUUCAAAGAAAGUGGGCUUCCUCAUCCUAGGGUACUUUAGUAUCGGUUUUUAUGAUCAUCUUAAUGAUUUAGAGACCUUGUCAUAAUUCAUGCUAUAAGUUCCUUCUUAUAGAUAAGAAGAGGAGCUUUGAAUUGUUGAAAUCAAGAAGACGACUCAUACUUCGUUCCAAUACAAGUCAUAGAGUCAUACUCCAAGAUUGUAACUUGAGUGACAUGUCUUAAUGAAGGUUUAAAAUACUUGUCAAAUGUAAGAGUAAAUGUUUUCUACUCUUGUACAUUUGAAAUUGGUAAUUUGUGAUGUUUUGGAUAAAACAAAGACCAACUAAGGCCAAUUGUGUGAAGUGUUUGUCUUGAUUAGAAUCCACACUAUCUCUUGAAUAUCUGACAAGAAAGUCUUAUAUGUCAAGAGGACAGUGGGAGUCUUAAAGGUCUUGAAAGUCUCAAGAACUAAUCAAGAAUAAAAACUGAAGUUCUUCACUAGCACACGACUUGAGGUUUAUAACCUAUCGUGUUGACAUAUUCUGUGCCCAUUCCAGUUAAAGUUGGCUUUGCAUAUGAGUUCUUAGAGUUCUCAAUUUGUUGCACAACAACUUG
rnacentral:lncRNA from 1 species